rnacentral:lncRNA from 1 species
UGGUUUUGAAAUUUCAGUGGGUCUACACCACACUCUGCUGACUUUUCUUCUCCCGUAUAAAACCCAAAUUUGAUCACCACAUCUGACCAAAACCCAAAAACACCUGUAUCAACAAAAUUUUUCUGUGUUAGGUUGUCAAUGGUACUCUUGGAAGAAAGACUUGCCAAAUUAUACUACAAGCUGGAGAAUCACCACCACCACCACCAAUUAGAAGCAGAUGUUUUGUCAGCUUCUCUACAGGCUUUUGGAUCUGUUGUUUCGAAUUGCCUGAAUCAGUUGUUGUUGAAUUCGAAACCCGGAUCAGAAAUUUUGUCUUUUUCAUGGAUUCAACAAUGUUUUGAGCUCCUACCGCUUAUCAACGGGGCAUUUGCAAAGCUAGUUGUGGAUAUAGAAUACCCCAUGAGCAGCUGGGAUGUUGCUUCUCUUGACGAGUAUCUCAACUACGGCUUGCAUUUGCUGGAGCUUCUCAAUUCUGUUAGUUCCUCUCUCUCUCAUCUGGCCCACGCUCGGCUUUCGUUUGCACAUGCUCUGAACCUUCUGGAGAAUUCACCUUCUUUGGCAAUUAAACAUCUCAAAGCAAUUCGACCGCAAAGUUCAAGCAAGGACUUUAAAGGACAGGAAAACAUGGAAGAUGGUGACGACAAGUUCUCCUCCUGCAAGGAAAGGGUAGUCAAUCAAGCUUUGAUGGAAAUAAAGAAUGUUGGAUUUUGGGUAUGUGGCGUUGCUUUGGCUAGCUUGUCUGGAGAUGCUAAACCAUACUUGGAGAUCAAACGAGUGAUUGACAGGUUCAAUAGUGCUUUGUUGAUUGAUGUAGAUUCAUGUAUUUCUGACGUUAUAGUGGAGAAAGAUGAGCUAUUGAAAGACAUUAAGGACCUUAACAAUGCAGCAGCUUCCUUAGCUUCGGCCAUAGUCUCUGGGAAAAGCAGUGAUGCAGCCAAAGAUUUGGAGAGAAGAUUGGGUGUUUUCGAGAAGCAACUGGAAGCUUUGGAAAAGCAGGUGGAUAAUCUGUUCUCGGAAGUUUUGGCAGGCAGAAAUGAACUGCUUCUCGUCGUUCGACAACGCAAGCAAUAGCAUCAAUUCCACAAUUUCUUAUGUAAAUAGUAAAAACACACACACACACACACACAAACUUCUAAAUUUUUUUCUUAGAUUAUUGCAACAUUUGUAAGACAUAUUUUAUGAUAACUGUAAGUAUUAUAUCUUCAAAUUAUUAAUGGAAAUAGAAUUGUAUCACAUCAUUAUAUCAGUUUCAACUUGCUAUAUUCAAAUUUUAACAAGAAUAUUGUUAUAUUUUCAAUAGUAACUUGCAGAAUGAUAUCAACAUGUCUUGCUCAAGCAGUCGACUUUUUUCAUGUUAGAACAGAUGAUAGAAUCUAGGUUUCUCGGUUUUGGACCAGCGAAUAAAUUGAUGUCAUGCAAUGAAUACUUUCAGCCUGCAAUAAACCAGGAGUUUUUUGAAAACCCAUGAACUAUCAAGCAGCAACUUUUACUUGCUAAAGUUGCAGGUUACCAAGGAAAAUUAAGAAUUCUGAAAAAAGCAGAAGGAAAAAGGAUGCCAAAAACAAAUUUUCUGUCAGCCACCAAAUGAAACAUGAAGUGCAACCUCACUAAUUCAAUUAGUAUAGAAAGUUGCAAUGGAAAGCAAAAUAGGACCAUUGUGAUACAAAAAGAAAAACAAAUAAAGGAAAGCCUAUUUUUUGGAAUACCCUCACCCUUUUUUCCAAUAACUCUUACAACUAAACUAUAUUCAUCACCUGAAAACUUAGUCUUCCUCCUGAAAAGAAACAUCUAUACCUUCACUGUGUUGACUUCUUCGAUUUGGAAAACUGUUGCUUUAAUAAACUACCAAACUAUACUCAACUGUACCAUGUCUCAGUUCUGUCAUCCCCAUUAAAGGCAAAUCGAACACCAUGAGGGGAAGAAUCACAUCAGCCCCAAUUGGCUCUCCGAGUCAUUGGAAUUGGUUUCUCUUUCAGGUUUCUUUCUCUUGUGAUGAUUACUUGGCAACCUGAUAAUUAUAGAUAGUAUAUGAGACCUGACAAAAUAGUAAAAGAUUGACUACGAUAGCAAGAUAAGGGCAACAACUUCAUUUUGGCCGGCGAGGCCAAUCUAAAAACACUAAGCCAACAACAAGAACUGAGAUAUACUAUUAUCCAGAGAUGUAGAAUUCAUUGAAGAAUUGACUUCAUUGUUAUAGCAUUUCUUAUGCUGGUUGCAGGCCUGAAUCUCCCUUUCCAUCAACUAACCAAAUUAUAAGAAAAUACAUACCCCAAAUACAAGGCAGUGUCUGAAUCUCCCUUUUCAACAGUGCAAUUACAGGUCACAUCUGUACUGGGAAUGCUAUGGCUCAUAAGAGAAUUCUUCCUUUCAACAGGAUAGCAUUCCAGAUAGGAUUGGACUGGGCGAUCAGUUAACGGAAAGAAACCUCGUAGCUCCUCAACCUGUAUUGGUAGAGAAAAAUAAAAAUAGCUUAUGCUUAACCCAAAACAGAAAGAAUGAUAUUCAGUUUCAUCAAGAAAAAUAUAACUUGCCUGUCUGCGUAAAGUUUCAUUCUCGAGCAUAGCCCGCUGCUCCUGAGAACAGGAAUUAUAAUGAAUUAAUUACCUCUAAUGGUUUUUUUUUUUUUCUUUUAGAUCAUGUUUACAGAUAAUAAUCCACUUCAUUGACAGAGUUACACAACAGAAGAUGAUUGUACAACUUUUCAAGAUUCUCAAGGUGUGAUAUUUCACAUAUUAAAUGACUUUACACGAACUUGCUAUUUCUCACCAUUUUCAUACUACUAUCCUUAUUAUUCUCACUUUAGAGUUACUUCAAGUGUUUAUAACCAAUGUGUUGCAAUUUCUCCGAGACCUCACCUCCACCAUGCAAGUGUAACCAAGCAUAAUUCCCGUGUGUCUCGUUAUCAAGAUCCCUAUUUUAUUUUCAAUAUGAUCUUAUUAUUGGAGACCACUGUAACAUCCCUCCUCAUAGUUCAAGAAUAGGAUUUUUAGACAAAAUAAAGAACGCAGAGCAGGAUCCAAUAUACCUGUAAUCUUGAUUGCUCUAGUUGUUCCAUGAGCAAUUGUUCCUGAAAUGGCAUGAAUCCUUUUAAGGCCUCUUAGGUUAACAAAUUUUCACUAGAAACAAGAACUAAUUAACCUAAUAGAUCUGAUGAACUUGGGCAAAAUGUCAUAUAACCUUCUUCUCCUUUACAGAUAACAACCCUUCAUUAAGCUGCUGCUCCAGAAGCUGAAGCUCUUUCAUGCUCAUGCUAAUCAAGUUCUUACCCAACAGCUGUCUAUAAAAACUGAACAAUAAUUAGUUUUAGGAACAGCAUUAUCUCUGUAUUGGAUAAAAUUGAAAUGCUUAAAUCAUAACAGACAAUUAAGAUGACAUACGACUGUUUCAUUUGUAGCUUUGCAAUUUCAUCCUUCAGAUUAUCUGCCUCCUUAGAGUCUUGCUUCUGAAACAAGUGUAUACUUGAAAUCAAUCAAAUUUAUACUUUCAACAAACAUACAACCAUUGUAAGGAAAAAUAAAUGAAACACAAGUAUUUGGAAAAGAAAAUUUUGUCAAGGAAUAAUACAUUUUACCAACAAGUAAACUGUUGUUUCGACUAGAAGUAACCACAUGCCAUGCACACCAAACUCUAAAUUAGUUUCCAACUAUCAUCUUGAGAUACAGCAUAAAGCCAACAUGCAGAUGAAGAAAUUGAAAUAUGUUGUUUCAAGACCAGAGGAAAACCAGAUUUGCAUACGUAACCAUAAAUUGCAGAUUACCUCUACUUUAUUUUCCACUUGAGCAAUCUCUGAAGAACCUUGAGAACACUUGUUGUAUCUAGAAAUUGUUUUCUUCAUGCUGCACAAAUGAACAAUGAACAAUGAAUAAGAAAGUACGAGUUUUUACUGUGACUCUCUCUCUCAUACACAUUCCAAUAAUUCUGGUUUCCUCUAUCACAUACGCACAUACAUUCCAACAUUUCUGGUUUCCUCCCUAAUAAAAUUUUCUUCCAACAAAUCUUUGCAUUCUAUAUUUGUUUUCUGGCAUCCCCUCACUUCAUUCCCUUUUGUUUACAACUCGUUAGCUACAAUCAUUUCCAUUUUGUACGAUCUAGAGUUGUAUCUACUUAAACUCCCAUUACAUAAAUAUAGACUAUGAACCUAAUUAAUAAACACGCUGAAACAAACUAUCCUUGAGAAAGCAGAGCACCUCUUAUAUCCCAUAGUAGGACAGCCUCACUAUCUCACUAAUCUAUGACCACUGGGGGUAACAUAUGUAGACACUGACGUAGAUUAACAUGUCGCUCUUGGAAAAACUUCAGAGGCUAACCAAAGACAGUACCAUCCAAACAAUAAAAUCGAUCAUUUUGCCAUGAAUUGAUGCCAAGUUUCUAUUGAAAAUUUAAAUGAGAAACUCAGUUGGGACAUUAAAGGAAUGUAGCUUUUUACCUUGAUGUAGGUAUAAAGGCAAACAAACAUUGAUAAUUUGAAAACAAUUGUAUCCUAGAAAACCUAAACAAAAUCUUAUAAUAAUAAUAAUGUAAUAUGUAUCAGCAGGAAUGAAAAAAAAGGGCCCAAAAAUGAAAAUUUCAAAUUUACAUGCCAAAAACACAUGCAACAAUUAAUAAAUAAAAAGGUCACAGACAAGUCCAAAGACUUAUUUAUUUGUCAAACAUUUACUGUUACUAAAAAUUUUCUACUGAAUUCAUUAUAAAUGACCAAAAUUAGCCUUUUUUUCUUAAGAUGAUAAUAAUAAAAGUAGUCCUCAAUUCUCAAAUGUAAUUUGAAAUAGGGGAAGAACAACGGGGUGAAGUUCAUAACAAAAUGACAGAGAAGACCAGAAAUUCAAAACUAUCAGCAGAUAAAAUCCAAACAAAACAUGCAAGAAUGCAAACCCUGGUAAACACCAUUUUGAUCAUCAAGAAUAAAGAAAAAUGUCAUAAACAAUAAAUAUUACCCUUAGCCUUUGUGAUUAAAAGCAAAGAGAAAAAGAGUCAAACUCCUCACACAAAAAAGGCCAAUAUAUUUCAAGGAAGAUAAAUAGUAAAUUCUCAGAUAUAAUCAACAAAGAAAAAAAUGCCCAUGCAAUGAUAAAAAUUCAAAAAAUUAUAUAUUUUUUUAAAUAUAAAGUUGUGCAUUACAUACCCAGAGCUGGAAAACUCAAAGAGCUUGCCAGUAUUGGAGAAAAUGAUGACAGCAACCUCAGCAUCACAGAGAAUGGAAAGUUCCCUAGCCUUCUUGAGCAAACCAGCACGCCUCUUGGAGAAUGUGACUUGCCUGCUAUUAGCAUUCUCAAUUCUCUUUAUCUCUAUUUUCCCCCUACCCAUUUUUUCUUAUCUGCUCUUCUCGAAACCCAGAAAAACAGCAAGAAUAUGGUCCUUUUAAUUCAAUGUUUAGAACAAAAGACCAACAACUUUUUCCAUUGGUUUUAAAUUUUGCUUUGUUUAUUAAGAGGAUUGGAAGAGCUUAAUUGGGAAAAGACUUGGAAAAAGAAAGGAUUGCUAAAAUUAGAGAUUGGGAAGAUAAAAAGGCAGGCGUUUUUGAGAGUGGAAACGGCAAGUUUGCAUGGCCUCUGCAUUCUAUUUCGAGUGUGCUUGCAUGAUUGAUUCCUUUGCCACAUUUGGAGAGCGUAGGUGAUGAUGGGGCCUAUCUCUGGGCCCCACCUUUUGUUUUUAUCCUUAAUCUGGUGGGUCCCACUUGGGGAGUUUUAUUCUUUUUUUUUUGCAUGUAUAUGUUUUAUUACUUUCAGGGGUAUUUAUGGGCUCCACCUGCCACCUGGGAUGGUUUUGGUGACUACUACGGUCAGUUUCAUUGUAAUGAGAUCCUAUUACGUAUCAACCGUUGAGAAAUCCUCCUCCAAUUUUUAUUAAAUCCUUAAUAAUUUGAGUCCAUUGCCCCAUUUUAAAAAUCUUCACUUGCUUUUUCUUAUGUCCCCAAGUGACCUUCAUCCAUCCAAUGGUUCCUGUCAAAUCUAACAGUAUAAUAAGAUCCUCGGUAUGAUUGGUAACUGAUCUUGGUAUAAAUUUUUAUUUAUCUCGAAUAUUAUUUGAUUUUAUAUUUAUUAAAUUUGAUCUUGAUUAGAUUCAAUUUUUUUUUUUUAAAUUUUUUUAUAUUUGAACUGAUAGUGUAUAAAUCGUAUCAGAUUUAAAAUUAAUAAAAUAUUAUUUUUAAAUAUAAAAUAUUAUUUUUUAAAAUAUAAAUAUUUAAAUAUAUAAUUAUAUAAAUAAAAAAUUAAUUUUAAAAAAUUAUUUUUAUAUAAUAUUAUAUCGGGUUCAGUUUGCCUAAAACUCGAAUCCAAUUCGAUCUUUUUUUAAUAUUACUCGAUUCAAAAUUCGAUUUAAAAAAAAAAAAUUAAUCUUAUGAGUUCGGAUCAAAUCGAAAUCCGUCGAAGACGAAUUGAAUUACUUAUCUUAAUAUAAAAGAUCUCAUUAUAAUGAAACUCAUCGUAGAGGUCACCCCCACGAUUUGAAAAAUUUUUCCUAUUCCCUUCUAUGGCAUGGCAUGCUAGAUUUAGUACUUUUUAAUAGCUACAUUUGGCAAGGGAAUUGCUAAGUUUAGAGACGGGGAUUUGCCAUAAAUGCUCCUUUAGAUUUCAAAAUCUUUUCCCAUACUUAGUAAUUUUAGCUAGAUAUGGGCAGCUGGUAAAACUUGUACCAAAUUUGGAGAUCGGUCACUACUUGCAUUUUUUAACAUUGGCAAGAAAGAGAAAGUGGCAAAGUUCCAUUGCCAAAUUUACACUACCAUUCCAAAAUUAGAAGAAGAAACUUUUAACGGCUAUUUCCCUAUUUUGCAUCUCCGUUCAAUAAAUGAUAGGAACAUAUAUCAAACAUUUUAACAGCUUUAUGUUGAACAGCUUGCGGAUCAAAUAUGAAUAGAGUUUUAGCUUGGUCAGCCAUUUAUCUCUUCGUUGAUUCUGUCUUUGCUUUUUGUUGGCUGUUCAAGAUGAUUUAAGAAGCGAUCAAUCCUUUUGUAAAACAAGAAUUUAAAGACAGACAACGAACCACACCCAUAAUUAUAAGAAAGAUGUAUGAUUACGAGUGUUAAGAUCAGUGCAGAUAAAGGAAACGAAACAUGCCAACGAUACUUUAAAUCACUAGCAUUCUUCCAUCAGGGUUAUCUUUUCCUUGGCUUCUUAUUUUUUAGUGUUCAACAGCUGACCUAACAUGUCAAACAACAAAAAUAGAAUUCUUUUUUUGUUACACACAAGAGAAUGAUCUGUCCUAAUUCGUGGAAGUGCCGAUAAUUAUACAAAAUGCAAUUUUGAAGCUUGUACAGCAGAGUAAAAUGCUAUCUCAGCACUUCAAAGUUACUUAUUCACACUAUAAAAUGUCAGCUGUUAAUGGAUGGGUGGAUAUCCUACUUAGCUCUGUGUCAUCCAUCUUUUUGCAUACAUAUAUAAAGUGAGAAUCCGGAUCUUCCAAAACAAAGUCGGCCGGAAUUAAGCCCCUUUCAGUGAUAGGAACAGGCUCCAAGUAUGACCUUGUUGAUGAAAUACCUCCAGGCCUCUUAAAAUCUGGUCUGGCUGCAAAGGAAUGAAGACAUGCGUUUAAAAAAAUAAAAACAGUUUAAAAACUCACUAACAAGUGUGUGCACAAAGAAGAACAUGGGCAAGUAAAGGUGCAGCAUCUAUAAACUUUUGAAAGUUAGUUCUCCGACAGCAGUUAAAUAAAUGGUGAUACAAGAUAAAAUAGUUUAACAAAGUAAUUUGCUUUAGAAUGGCCAUAUGAUCAUCAAAUUCCAGAACCGGUACAACUUUAAUCUCCUGCAUAUAUAUAUAUAUAUAUAUAUAUCAGACAAGGAGCACCUGCAACCAAUUGGGAAUGUGCUCAGUGACCUGUCCUAUUUAGCACAUCAAACCCCAACUAGUCCUGUCUCAGUAGUUCAGAUCGAAAACAGGAUUUAAUCAGGUCAAACCAUCAACCCAAAAACCAUAAAUGCAGAAGAUAAUAUAGAUGCUUCUCCUUUACAACAAUCCUUUCCUUGCAUCUAUUCACUUCUUAGCUGCCACCAUGCCUUGAAUCUGCCUGAUGGAUAGUUCCAUUGAGUUUGCACCCAAAUGCAUGCCCAAGGUUAGGACAGCAUUGGUUUCUAGAAAGAACAUCUUAACACAGAUUUGGAUAAUAAAAUGUGCCCUAAAAAUAAAACGCCUUUUGUGUGUUAAUCUUAUUUACAUAACUUCUAGGGAGGAUCUCUAACUUAAGAGUAUCUAAAAGUUAAGAGACAACAGAUACCAUUCAUGGGAAGUGUAAUGAGGAGAAAUGCUAGUAUGUUUCUUCACUGUCAAGUCACUAAACAAGUAUUGUCCUCAGAUCUGUACUUCCUCCAGAUCAUGGAAAGUGGAGAAUCAAAUUCUAACCCAAAGAGGGGGCUGAGAUGAAGUAAAGAGAAUGCAAAAUAGACUUUGGGGAUGUUAACAUGCUCUUGUGGCUCUCUUAAUGAAUAAAUAGAAAAUUAGAAUGAGAGUUCAUGGUAUAUAUUCAAUGAAAGCAGAAAGCAGAUCCCAAUCAGGUAAAAUCACAUAAGAUUAACAGUAAGCAAAGAAGAAACCUAAUUAGCAUUUGUAACUCAGUACAACUAAAAGAGGUGCGAAAUUUAAAUUCAAAAACAUUUACUAAAAACAAAACAAUCUGAAAACAUGUAUAACUUUUCACAACUAAAUGAUGAGAAAGAAAAAUGCUUAAACAGAUAAAGGAGCGGAAAUAGAACUUACGUAGGUUGUACAACACAAUAGUCCAAUUAUAAGCUGGCCGGCUCAAAUGAGGCAUCCUCACUGAUGGAUCACCAUAGGUUAUCUGGUAAAGGCAAUUUUAAGAACACAUCACUCAUUUUGAAGCUUCAGAUUAAAAGAGGGAACAUUGCAAAAACAGAGUUUUCAGAUUUGGCAAAAUGGUUACCAACAUAUAGAUCCCUCCAGGUUUGAGAAGCCUACCAAUAAGAAAACAAAAAGCAUCAGCUACCAAUUUUAAAAUUGAAUGCAUGCACAAUUGGGGUAACUCCUAUUGACAAGACUAUGUCUCUAGUGACUGUAAUCAAGUAACAGGUUCAAGAAAUUUUCUAUUAUAAUAAACUACUAUUACGAAAUAAGGGAUAUAUGUUAUAAAUGCAAUUAAGUUUACAACCUGCUCACUUCACCCAGCAUCCGAGAAGCACUUAUUGGAGCAUCCGUGCCACACUAAGAAUCAUAAAAAAGAAGAAAUCUUUAGGUUUUAUGAAAUGAACAGAAGAAACAACGAAAGCAUUUGAAUAUGGAUCAUACCAUCAAAGAAUCAAGAGUUCCUUAAUCGAAUUUCAGCAGCUCAUGAGUACAGAUUCAGCAACAAGAAAAAAAAAAGUCUCAUCAACAUUUGAAGCAGGAAGUCAGCAACUUUUGAAAAAGUAUUUGAAACAAGGAUAGUGCCAUACCUUUAUCAAUGAUACCGUCAAAAGAUUCAUCCCCAAAAAAACUCAUAUCCCUAACAUCCAUUUGCAUGUCUAUUUAGAUUAAUCAAGGAAACCACAGAAAACAGUUAUAGCUACUUGAAGGACAGAAAAGGAAAUGGAACAAGCAAGAAUCAUAAAAACAAAAAUAAAGGUAGGGAAACUUUCCCAGAAAAGAAAAAUUGAAGAUUCUGUCAUAGUUAAAAGGAUACAUUUCAGCUGAGGAAUAUACUCGUAUUUCCUUCUCAUCAUGUCAAUAGCCACUGAGGAAAUGUCAAUGUUCAUAAUGUCUUCAUAUCCAUCCUUGACCAUGUCCUCCGACAUAACUACAGAGAAAAAGCAUUUUCUAAAAUGUAAAUCCCUUAACAGAUAGAAUGAAGAAAACAAAGGACAACCCCAUUCUCUACUAAUAUUGACCAUUAUCAGGUAGCAAACAGAGACACCAAGGGCAAAGGAAGACAAAACUUCCAGAUGAGAACUAUGAACGUUCAUGUUGGAAGACAAUUAACAUUCCAUGAAUCUUUAACUUUCUAUUUCAACUUUUCCCAGACUUAGUCAGCAAGCAAACAGGGUAAAGAUACAUAGAAACCCUAGAUUUGAAUUUACAAACCCUUUAGCCUAAAAAUCACAUUCAUCAAAUUCAAUCCCUUCAUCCCUUACCCUUUUCCACACUUCCUCAGCAAACAAAAGAUAUGCACUUUAAUUAAUCAGAAACACUAUGCAAAACGAAAUAUAAAUAAAUGAAGAAAGAAAGAAAAAAAGUAAUAGAAAGGUUUUAGAAAAAGAAAUAGUGAUAAAAAAAGAAGAAGCAUAGAGUGGGGAGAAAUUACGGGCAUUUCCACAGCCGACCAUGAGGACACGAGAGGAGGUAGGGACGUAGUUACGAAUAAAAGGGCGAAGAGAAGAGUAACGCUGGUACCAGUCAAAGGCACCUCCAGCUUCCAUAACAUAACGGGCGUCCCAGUACAAGGCAUCGCCAUAGUUGUAGGUGUUGCAGCUUGAAACAUCCCGGUACAUCUUCUUCCCCUCCUUUUAUAUAUUUUUUUCUAACCACAACUACUGUAUAUUUUUUCUUUUUUCUUUGGGUUCCACGACAGGGGUUUUUUUGGAAGGGGCGUUUGGUGAGGCAAACGGGAUGGGAAGCGAGAAGAGGUAAGGCUUUUGGGUUGGGUGGUUCCGAGCGUGUAGGUGGACGUAUUUGGGGGGAUUGAUGGUGGGGUCGAGGGGGCAAGGAGUGGUUUGGUUUUGCAUUAAAGGAGGCUUAUGUCCAAAGCAUGAUCUAGUUUGGUGCAUAGACAAGAUCAAACCAUUGUUGGAUAGUUGGAUGUUCAUUCAACUAACAUCAGUUACUGUUUUUGACUUUUGACGAUAAAAUUCACUUUCCUUUCUGCAGUAAAAUUUAUUACUGGCUUAUUGCACUACAUAUUGCAAUUCGCCGUUUCUUUUUCUUUCUAUUCUCAACUCUGCGUCCUUCUUAAUAGGGAUUUUUCUUAUAAGAAGAUAUACUUUUUUUUUUUACCAUAAACAAGAUAAACAUAUUGAGUUAGUAUUAUUCUAUGUGAUACAUUUAUAUCUUGUAAAUCUUAUUAUCAUACUUAUAAUGUGGGUUUUGAAUUUUUAAUUAAUUUUGAAUUUCUUAAAUCGAAAAGCAUUGCAGUAAGUUGAGAUAUAUAAUAUAUAAUAUUAUGUUUGACUCUUAUAUUAUAUGUUUUUUUAAUAUGAUAUUUAUAUUUUAAAAAUAUUUAAUGUAAAUUUAUAUUAUAAAAUCAUGUGAUAAUAUGGUACUUGUGAUUAAUCCCAUACAAAAAUAUAGAUGUAGCAAUCAGUCUAUGAAAUGAUAAGAUGUGAAAUUUUGUGCCACAUCGGUGUGUCAUAUCAUAAAAAAUUGUUUUAUAGCUUGUACAUGUGACAUAAAUAUGAAGUUCAAGUGACAAUGGGUUACUGUACAUGUUAUUGUCACUUAUCAUUAUGCUGGUACCUUUUUUCCCUUGAAUUAUUAUUUUAUUUUACAAACCAUGACAUGCAGUGCCAACAUAUGGAAUAAAUGAAAAAAAAUUGAAAGAAUUUAUGAAGUACGUCAAGAUGACAAUGGCGGAUGAAAGUUGGACUAAGAUCGACCAGCUCUCUAUCAACGAUCUAGAUGGAUUCAUGGUUGAAUUACGAAAUUGUGAGAAUCUUAAGCAUGUUCGUGCAGGCUCAACGGGCAAGGUCAAGCUCCUCUUUGAUCGCCACAAUCCGCCAUUCGGUUUGCACUUUGCGGCGCCCAAAUAGCAUAGCCUAUGGCCUUAGCAUAUGGAUUAACCGUACAAAUCUUUAAAUUGACCAUAAUCUCUAGUUAUAUACAGUAAGAAUUUAGUAAAGCGGAGUCAACCAAUUUUACCCAAAAAGUCAAGCAAACUUAAAAAUGAAAAAAGAAAACCUCCCUUAUUUGCGUUUGUCCUAUUGGAUUUGUGCCUUGGACUCCAAACUUGAUUGCUUUGAGCCCACUUCCUUGGCCCAGCACACCAUUAACCCAAGCCGAAUUAGGGAAGUUAAAAUAUGCGCAUCAGAUUUCAGGUCAUAAAACAAAGGGUCUUUUUAGUCUUUUAACUUAGUCAAGGUAAAAACGGUGAGCCACAUGUCAUGUCCUGAUUCGACAUGCUGACAAAAGCCCAACGUCUUUCGUCACAGAAACUAUCACCUGCCUCGUACGCUUCUACACUCUCACAAUCCCUUUGUUAAAGUUAUAUUUUCGUUCCUGAUUUACCCUUCCAAUUUAUGAAAAUUACGUCUCUGUCGGUUUUUUCCCCAGAUACAGCUUUGAAUAGAACCAAACUCAAGAUCAGAACACGAAGAACGACCGCAGGAGCUAGAAACCAAAAACAUCAGCACAAACAAAAAGAAGACGACAUAUAAUGAAAUUACCAAGUUUACCACUCUCCUCCGUCCAAUAAUCAGAAAUUGCCAAAAAAAAGAAAAAAAAAACCACUCCACACUGUUUCCGCACGGAACACUGCCCUCUUGCUCCUCGUCUAUCAUCUCUCUCUCUCUCUUUCUCUCCUCUUUCUGAAUUCCCUGAAUCAGAUCAAACCCUAAUUCUCCAAAUUCUCAUCGUUUUAGUCCAAAUCAGAUCUCUAUUUGGGGUUCUUCCUCGUCAAUUCACUUAUUUGCUGAUAAUUGUUAUCUGUAUCUGUUUGUUUCUCACUGUAUCGUCAAAGAAAUUGAUUGACAUUUUUGGGGUAAGGAACCGUAAAAUUUGCGUUUAAUCUAAUGGCGUGUAUAAAAGGGGUGAAUAGAUCGGCGUCGGUGGCACUGGCGCCGGAUGCCCCUUACAUGGCUGCGGGGACGAUGGCUGGGGCGGUGGAUCUGUCCUUCAGCUCAUCGGCGAAUCUCGAGAUCUUCAAGUUUGAUUUCCAGAAUGAGAAUCGUGAGCUUCCCGUGGUAGGCGAGUGCCCCAGCUCAGAGCGAUUUAACCGCCUCGCUUGGGGCAAGAAUGGAUCCGGUUCCGAUGAGUUUUCACUCGGGUUCAUUGCUGGUGGCCUUGUUGACGGCAAUAUCGAUCUUUGGAAUCCCUUAACCCUGAUCCGGUAUUGGAUAUUCUUGCAAUCUAUCUAUAAUGUACAUAUCGUUUGAUUUGUCUAAUUCACUUUAAUUUUCGAUUGAAUUAGAAAUGUGGUCAAUUAAGAGUGCAUUGUUGUAAUCUGUAAGUUAAUUGGAUAUGUUUUGGGUUUUAGGUAUAUAAUGUUUGUGUGGAUGGGAAAACGGUGACUGCUUUGUAUCUACUUGGGAUUAUAUUAUUCUGUUAUCUAAUGCACAUUGACACAUUUUGAUGUGGGCUUACUAUAAUUUUUUAAGUCUUACGUGAAUUGGAUUGCCUGGUUGUUUGGAGCGGAUCAAUUGGGACCUGGAGAGAAUUUGAUAUUUCAUAUGGUUAGUAAGAAAUGGUUAUUUAGGCUGUUGGGCUUGUUUACUUUGACUCUAGAGUUUUUAAGGUUUGAUUUAGUAAUAAUGUGCCCAUAUUCGUGAGUUCUAGAAUACUUAUUAUAACUGUAUUUGAUGAAUGGUUGGUUGAAAUUGAACUCUGGAUGAAGUAUUUUGAAAUUUAAUUUCCCUUUAAAUUGUUACUCUCUUGUUUGCUUGUGCGGAGCUGGAAUAAGUUGGAUAAAUGGAUGGUAAUUUGUUGUGCCUGAUCUUUGCAUUGCCUUCGAGUAGGCGACAGGCAUGAUUUUCAUUUUUGUCUGAUUUGGCAAUGGUAUUGUUUGGCUGUUAGGAAUUAGGAGUGAGAGUUAAUCAAAAUUGGAGCUUCAUAGUUUAGAGCAAAAUAUGAUGUUUGCAUGUUUCUUGUGUAUCUUUCAGAUGUUUUUUUAGUAUUUGAAUCAUAAAUCAGGCUGAUUAUAUUGUGUUGGGUUAGGACUGGAAGAUAUAUAGAAGAAUGUUGUUAAAGUGCGGGAAAUUUUUUUAUUUCCUGGUAUUGGAUUGCUGGUUACAUUUGGAUGAUGCUUUAUUUUAUUAGAGGCUAAGAAUCCAAAAGGAAAAGAUUAUCUUCAUCUUUUGGGAGAAAUUUUUUUUAUUAAAAUGGUUCUUGAUUGGGACCCUUUGUUAGGGAGGUGGUAACUUUUUUUAUCUGUUCAUUUAUGGUCAUUGUUGUCUAGAUGAUUGGAUUUGAUUACUUUCAUAUUUGUCUUUUGAGGAGUUUUUGGCUAAUUAUUACUAGUAUUCUUGUGUUCUUUAACAAUCUCAUCAUGUUUUGGGAUAUUUAUUUUGUUAUUAACAUUGUUUUAUUCAUUGUUUGAAACAAAGAAAGAGAAGAAGAAAAGGGUGAAGAAAAUUUAAGUGAUCUACACCAUAGAUAUCUUAUUAUAUAUGAUUAAAGUAGUAGUAAUUUUGGUUGCUUCAUUUCCCCAGCUCUGAGGCAAAUGAACAAGCUCUUGUUGGACACCUUUCAAGGCACAGAGGGCCUGUGAGUUUCCUUUUUCUGUGAUUAAUGCUCAAUUGCUUUGACAUACAUGAUAUUUGUCCUCAAGAAAUUGAAGACUGCCUGGUAUUUACAUCUUUCCUUUCCCCAUAUUUUAGGUUCGUGGUCUUGAGUUCAAUGCCAUUGCUCCAAACUUAUUAGCAUCUGGGGCAGAUGAUGGUGAAAUCUGCAUCUGGGAUUUGGCAGCACCUGCACAACCCUCUCAUUUUCCACCUCUUAGGGUACGUGCCAAUCAUCCAUUACUUGUUGAAUUGUAAACCUCAUGCGUCUAUUAUGCCAUUGAUAAUAAUCUCAUAAGUUCUAUUAUGCUGUUGGUGUUCUACUAAAUGCCUUCUUGUGUGUGUUGCCAUAUCUUUACUGUAGUAAGCAUGCUUUUCAAUAUAUAUUAGUGGUUCAGCUAGAAAUCAGCCCACAAGAACACCACUUUCCCCUGCCCCACCCCCCCCUACCCCCCCCCCCCCCAAAAAAAAAAAGAAUAAAAAAUCUACCGAGGCAUCUGACAUAGUUUUUGUGUCAUCAUGCAGGGUAGUGGUUCUGCCACUCAAGGUGAAAUCUCAUUUCUGUCUUGGAAUAGCAAGGUUCAACAUAUAUUGGCAUCAACUUCAUAUAAUGGAACAACUGGUGAGUAAAUGAAUGGACGCCAGACUAUUUGUCUUGUCAUUUACGUUUAGCGGGGAAGAUAAUACGUAUUUUUUAAUUUUUUAUUUUCCAGUUGUUUGGGACUUGAAGAAGCAAAAACCUGUGAUAAGGUAAAUUUCAUGUUAUCUACCAAGUGAAAAUUUUCUGUGUCUGCAGGUUAUUGUGACCUGGCACAUCUUUUGACCCAAUCUGUUUUUUUUUUUUUUUACUUUUUAAUUGACAGUUUUGCUGAUUCCGUAAGAAGACGGUGCUCUGUUUUGCAGUGGCAUCCUGAUGUUGCCACUCAACUUGUUGUUGCAUCUGAUGAAGAUGGUUCACCCGCACUUAGGGUAAUGAUCUUGUCGAUGAUUUUGCUUCUGUUGAGGAUUACCAUUUGUUAGGAAUUUGUUAAUUUCUGGUAUUUUUGCAAACAGCUUUGGGAUAUGCGGAAUAUAAUGUCACCAGUGAAGGAGCUUGUAGGGCACACAAAAGGUAACCAUGCUUGACAAGUUGAUGCAUCGUUUUAAACUUGCUGAUAGUUUUUCCUUCUUUGCUUUUGGGUGUUUGUUUCCGUACUUGAUAUGACAAUUAUAUGCUAUUAAGUAUUUGCUAUUUCACUUUGCUCACUCUCUCUAAAAUUGAAAAGCAGUAGCCUGAAAAAUUUAAUAAGAACGACAACAAUGAUGGAAAGGCUAAAUUAUUAUUUAACUCUUUUCAGUUUUAACCUGAUACUACACCAUAUAAUAUGAGAUGUAUUUAGUUAGCUUCUUAAAGUCAGAGUGAGAAUUAGAUUAUUAAGAUUGAAUAGAUGCCCUUCAGUCAGAAGGGGUCCAUGAUAAAUUUAGGACUUUGUCUCUUUCCUGCUAUGGGUCAUUUGCUGUUUAAUUUUUCUGAUAGUUAUCCAUCUCCCUGUUCAGUUUGUGCAUUAUUUUUCUAGGUCUUUUGUUGUUGUAAGUUAAAAAGGAGUUUUGUUAUUUUAAGUUCUUAUAUUUGACUGCAUUUAUUGUUGCAGGUGUAAUUGCAAUGGCAUGGUGUCCCUCUGACGGCUCUUAUUUACUCACAUGUGCCAAAGAUAAUCGGACUAUUUGUUGGGAUAUGGUUACUGGAGAGGUGGGGAAUGAGUUAACUAUUGAUCUGCUUCAGGCAUUCCUUCUGGAGAUCUGUCUGUUCCUUUUAUCAAACAAGUAUUUUCUGAAUUGUGAUUUUCCUUUAUGUUAUUUUUCUGGAAUAGAUUGUCUGUGAACUGCCUGCUGGUACCAACUGGAACUUCGAUGUGCACUGGUAUCCGAAGAUACCUGGCGUAAUAUCAGCAUCUUCCUUUGAUGGCAAAAUUGGCAUUUACAACAUUGAGGUGUGACCUUGUCCAAGUUAUCUUUCCUAUCAUAAUUACAUUUUUGUUAAAAAAAAAAAAUUCUAGUUGUUGGACAUACGUAUGACUGAUCAAUUGCAAUUAGCCAAUAAUUAUCAUACAUUUGUUUAGGGGUGGGAUUUUUAUGUAACUUGUUGUGACAAGCACUGCUUUUGUAGUUUAAUCUGGCAAACGUUUGAAGCUUAUUGUUCUUGCUGGUUUGUCAAAGAAAAAGAUACUUGUCUGAUUACCUGCAAUUUUUGCCUCUCAGAACUUUUUUCCUCCCUGGACCCUAGAUUUAGUACUUCUUUUAGGUAAUUUUUUUACCUUGUUCUGCAGGGUUGCAGCCGUUAUGGUGUAGGGGAGGGUGAUUUUGGUGCAGGUAAUUCAUCAAACAUAAUUAUAUUUAUAUGUGUGACUGCAGCAGUUAGUUUGGCAGCCUUCAAUUUGCUUCUGGUAGAACUAUCCAUGUUCUCCAUGUAUUAGCUUGCACAUAUAUAUAUAUAUAUCAUAAUUUGACCGUGGUACUAUUAAGCUUUGUUGGUCUAGGAGAAACAUAUUGAUGACUGCCAAUAUAAUUUGGGGAAGAUAUGCAGACUAUGGGCCAAGGCUGCUUAAAUAGUCUUUAAUCUUUAUCUCUGUUAAACUCUAACUUAUUGUUUCUAAGAUUAUAUAUAUUUUCAUUGGUAAUUUAGUUGUAACUAGUUCUAAUGUCUUUUUAUGCAGUGACUUUGAGAGCUCCAAAAUGGUAUAAACGUCCUGUUGGGGCAUCUUUUGGAUUUGGUGGAAAAGUUGUAUUUUUUCACCCUUGUGUGUCUGGUUUAGGUGCUUCUGCAUCAUCAGAGGUAAAUAUUCUUAGGCAGCAAGGUCUGUUUCAUUCUAUUUUAUUUGAUUUCCACUGAUAUUCUUCUUUUUGGGAUCUUAUGGUCCUGUACGCUAUUUUCAGGUUUUUGUGCAUAAUUUAGUUACUGAAGAAAGUCUGGUCUGCCGUUCAUCUGAAUUUGAAUCUGCGAUACAGAAUGGGGAGAGGUCUUCACUAAGGGUUUUAUGUGAAAAGAAAUCUCAAGAGUCUGAGUAUGUCAUCUGAAUUAAGAAAUUGUAGUUAUUUUCUUUCUUGUCUUCUGUCGAAUAAUUUUAUCUACUUCCACCAAUUAAUACUUUUGAUGAUUCAUUUGGAAUUCUGUACAGAUCUCAGGAUGAUCGAGAAACUUGGGGCUUCUUAAAGGUGAUGUUUGAAGAUGAUGGGACAGCUAGGACAAAGUUGCUCAUGCAUCUUGGUUUUAGUGUAUCUGCAGAAGAAAAGGAUACUGUACAAGAUGACCUCUCCCAGAGUGUAAAUGAUAUUACACGCGAGGAUAAAGUGGCAGAAAAAGUGGGCUGUGAGGGUGAGAAAGAAGCUACCCUCUUUGCAGCUGAUAAUGGGGAAGAUUUCUUCAACAAUCUUCCGAGUCCCAAAGCUGAUACACCCGUUUCAACUUCCGAAAAUAAUUUUGCUAUUGAGAGCACAGUUCCUAGUGCAGAUCUAAUACCUCAAGAAUCAGAUGGACUGGAGGAAAGUGUGGAUCCAUCAUUUGAUGAUGCUGUUCAACGUGCAUUGGUGGUGGGUGACUAUAAGGGAGCAGUUGUGCAGUGCAUUGCUGCGAAUAAAAUGGCUGAUGCUUUAGUUAUUGCUCAUGUUGGUGGUGCUUCCUUAUGGGAGAGCACACGUGAUCAGUAUCUUAAGAUGAGCUGUUCCCCUUACCUGAAGGUGAAUUAAAUUUUUAUAUUUGCUUAGCACUGAAGGAUUUAAUCAUAUAUCUUUAUAAAAUAGGAAUCGAGAUAUCAAUUCUUUACAUGGGUUAUAUUUCUCAUCGGCUACAAUAUUAUUAAUUAUUUUUUUGAGGAAAAUUAUAUGUUAACUGUGCUGUUUGUCUGUAGGUUGUCUCUGCAAUGGUGAACAAUGAUCUCAUGAGCCUUGUCAACACCAGGCCUUUGAAAUUCUGGAAAGAAACACUAGCACUCCUCUGUACGGUAAGUUUCUAUUUUGGAAGUAGAUAUGUUGUGGUGUAGCAACAAAUUAUAUAACUGUACUUGUUGCUAUUAUGAUGGACUUAUUAUCAUAUUUGAUGAGCAGUUUGCCCAGAGAGAGGAAUGGACUGUACUCUGUGAUACGCUUGCUUCAAAACUAAUGGCUGCGGGUAAUACUCUGGCUGCAACUCUCUGUUAUAUAUGUGCUGGAAAUAUUGAUAAAACAGUAGAGAUUUGGUCAAGGUGCCUGACAACUGAACAUGAUGGGAAAUCUUAUGUUGAUCUUCUCCAGGUAAGUUAGCAAUUUAUAGAAACAACACAUUUCAAACUUAAGUUGUCUAAUCAGAAAUCUGAUAAUAGAGGUUUAUUCUCUAGGAUUUGAUGGAAAAGACCAUUGUCCUUGCUUUGGCAACUGGGCAGAAGCGAUUUAGUGCAUCCCUAUGCAAGCUUGUUGAGAAAUAUGCUGAAAUUUUGGCUAGUCAAGGGCUUCUAACAACAGCAAUGGAGUACUUGAAACUCUUGGGGUCUGAUGAGCUGUCACCUGAACUUGUGAUCUUAAAAGAUCGUAUUGUGCUUUCUACAGAACCUGGUAUGUGCUUUAGGAGAUGGUCAAUGGUUACUGCUAUUGUGCUGUUACAUAUGGGUUUUGUGAUCUACCAUUGCUAAUUUAUAUUUAUGCAAAUAAUUCACAUGAAAAAAGGUCAUGCUGGUGACUGAAAGAACACCAGUUGAACUUGGUAGAAAACUUUGUUGAGCUUAUGUAAUUUGGAGUGCUUGUGAUGCUUUAGAUUAAACUAAGAACUGUUAGCUACUUUUUCUGGUGUCUAAUUCUUUCAAUUUAUCUUACAGGUGUUUUUGUGACAUACCUGUAAUAGCAAUAUUUAUGUAUGCAAGAAAUUAGCUUACUGAUGCCUGAGCUAAGUUUUGUGGCAUGCAAUAUAUGCUUGUUGAGGAUAUCUGUUUUUUAUUCUUGCAGAGAAAGAAACUAAAUCUGCUGUUCCUGAGAACUCUCAUCCAACAAGUGAGCCUGUCUUUGAGCCUUCACAACAUUUAUAUACGGUGCUUUAUCUUGCACUUUUCUUUUAUGUGAUGUGUCUCUCAUUGAAUGCUCCUUGAUAAGCUGUCGUGAUGUUUUUUUGGUUUUUUGUUACUUUCCCUCAUUGCUUAGAAUUCAGCUGCAUCACUAAUUCAGCCAAGUGUUCCUACUAGUGCUUAUGAUGAAAAUUAUCAGCAUUCUUUUUCUCCGUAUGGAGGAUAUGCACCUCCUGCCUCAUAUCACACUCAACCGCUGCCUGCCAACAUUUUUGUUCCAACCCAAGCUCCUCAUGUUUCCCAGGUAUGCUGUAUUGGGUUUCUUUUUGUGCAUAUCACUCUAUUUGAUUGUAGGCCCUAAGCUAUGGCUAAGUUGUAAUUAUAGUUUUCUUCCGGUUUUACUUUUAAUCUAGCAUGCUAUCUCAACACCUAGAGACAAUUUGAUUCAAUGGAUAUUUUCAUUCGGUCGCUCUCUAUGAAUCAUACCAUCCAAUUGGAUGUAUCCUCAGGAAAAGAGAAUGCUUGUUUAGAGAUUUUUGAAGUGAAAGAUUGGAUUUGCUUAGGACAGCAUGCCAAGUUAAAACUAGCAUAGGAUUGGUAUGUGUUUGGAAGGUUUUUUUUUUUUUUUUUUUGGGGGGGGGGGGUGGGGUGUUAGUUUGCAAUUGAUCUUCAUUCACCUGAUAGUUUUUCAACCUACAAACCGUACAAUUGCUACUAUAUAAAAUUGGUUGUGGCUAGUUUAUCCUGCCUCCAAGACCCCCUAGGGCAGGAGAAAACUGGACAAACUGAAAAUCUGAACUAAACCAGCUUCAUCUUUUUGCUUGGAUUAACCUUGGUUUGAACAAACGACCUGAGCAUCUGUACAUACAAAAUUUAGUAAGAAGAUUAGAUAUUGGGUAGACAAGGUUCUGUGUUGUCCAAAAUGAGAACUUUAUCUUUGGCUUCCUAGUUUUCCUUGCUUUUUAUUUUAUUAUAUGCAUGAUGCUCUUUGCUUUUAUUUGUCAGCUUGAUGCUUGACUAAAUAGUUUCUUUUGUUUUUCCAGACAAGUUUUGCUCCUCCACCUGGCACCACUCAGCCUGCUGUUAGACCCUUUGUUCCUUCAAAUCCUCCUGUUCUAAGAAAUGCAGAUCAAUAUCAGCAGCCAACUACCUUGGGUUCUCAGUUAUAUCCUGUCUGUAUUCCUACAUUUAAUUUUAUGGUCGAUGCCAUAGUUAUUCUUCUGAGACUGGUAUACUGAUUAUUUUUGCAUGCCUUUCAGGGUGGUGCCAAUCCUACUUAUCCUGUACCCCCUGGGGCUGGUUCACUUGCACCUGUCCCAUCACAAAUGGGAUCAGUUCCUGGCCCCAAAAUGCCCCAAGUUUUAGCUCCCACCCCAUCACCUAGGGGAUUUAUGCCAGUAACUAACACAUCUGUUGUUCAAAGACCUGGGAUGGGCACAAUGCAACCACCCAGCCCUACACAGUUGGCAUCAAUACAACCAGCUGCAGCACCUGCUGCUCCUCCACCAACUGUGCAGACUGUUGAUACUUCAAAUGUACAUGGUAAUUGCUAAUUUCUUGGUUGCUAAUGUUAAUGUUAUACAUAUAUAUUGGAUUAUGGAGAUACUCUAGUCGUAUGGUAUGUCCACCUCACUGUCUGGGAUUAUUCCAGAAUGAUGGUUUACAAUCCAAAAAAUUAAGUAAUGUUUAUCUUUAAAUAAUUACCCUUUAUGAAAUACAAUAAUUUGUCACAAAAAUGAUAACUGGGAAAAUGUUUUACUAUUCUUUACAAUAGUUAUUCGUCAUUUUGAAUUUGCAUAAUCCACAUAAAAUAAGAUUGAAGGUAUAAUCUGUGGCUUCUGAACUUCCCAAAUAAAGAUGAAUAAAAUGUGUGGUUGUUUCAACAGUAAUCUCUGUUCAUUAAUGUCAGCAAACUAAUAGAUGAAGAAAUAUAUGCUGAUAUGUAAUACUUUUGGUAAUGACUUUACCUUGUUUGCUUUUCAGCCAACCAGAAACCUGUAAUCACAACCUUAACUAGACUUUUCAAUGAGACAUCUCAAGCACUGGGAGGUUCACAUGCAAACCCAGUUAAGAAGCGUGAAAUAGAAGACAAUUCAAGGAAAAUAGGCGCCUUAUUUGCCAAACUCAACAGUGGAGACAUUUCAAAAAAUGCUUCUGAUAAGCUUAUUCAGCUCUGCCAGGCUUUAGAUAAUAAUGAUUUUGGUACAGCCCUACAAAUCCAGGUAUGGUGGGGAAAGAAUGUUGUUUAUGUUGAUUUCCACAUGAUUGUUGGCAACUAAAAGUGCUUCAAUUUUUUUUUACCUCUUCCCUGAAACAGGUUCUUCUAACUACUAGUGAGUGGGAUGAGUGCAACUUUUGGCUUGCCACUCUCAAGCGGAUGAUUAAGACAAGGCAGAAUGUAAGAUAAGUUAUAAGAAGGUAUAAAAUCUCCAAGGAUCUAAUCCACAGUCUACUUAUUUUUCCCUUUUGUGGUAACACACUUGGGGCACAGAUAAAUCCUUUUUUAUAGUAGUACACAAGAAUGGAAUAUCUUGAUUGCUGCUGCAGGAUUUUGGUUGUUUUGGUCCAUUACAUGCUUCCUGCUAAAUAUUGACUAGCAUUUUACAUUAAUACUCUUUUUGAAAGCAGUUAGUGAAAAUAGUUUUCAGGACGUUAUGUUGAUUGUUUCUCAUUAGACAUUUUGUAGUACUGAGAAGUAGAGGUGGCUUAUUUAGUUCAGUUUUCACUUUUUUCUUUCUCUUUUUUGGGUGCUGAAAACUCUGUUAGUGAGUGAAUUGGAUUGACAUACUGUUGUUGCAUUGUUUGGUUUCCGCGUGGCCAUUAGUUGUACAACAACCCAUCUGCUUUUUUAUCAUUAAUAUGAAAGGAGAGUUUUAAUAGGAUGCUUACAAUUUCAUCGACUGUUUUGAACUUUGAAGCGUUUCCUUCCCGUCACCUUUCUUUGAGCUGUAUUUUAGAAUAUUUUCGAAUAUCUUUUUGGGACAUCUCUCUUGAGGGUUGCGGUUUGGGUUUGAAAUUCAUGGGAUAGUAAGUAAAUAGUAAUGGAUUGUAAAUAAAUCCAUUUAUGAAGAGAGCAUCAUCACUAAUGUGAUUUUUUUGGUUGGUUUGAAAAUUUUAAUCGAUCUGGGAGAAGGCCAAUUUGUUUAAGCGUUAGUGGAUCCUGCUAUGGACCUCUAACGGUCCAACUUUGAUCCCGGGCCUGGCUCUUGAACUGAAUAUCCGUCUGACUGGAUGCCUCUAUUUUUUUUUUUUUUAACUAUUUUAUCAUUUACUUCCAUGCUCAAAAAAAAAAAAAAAAAAAAGGAUUGCUAUGAAGUAUGAAUUAAAAAUAAAUAGGAAAAAAAAUUAGAAAUAUAGUAGAAUUUUAUCCAAAAUAAAUAAACGGACACUCGUUUUUACAUAGUAGUUUCAGGUAAAGCAAAACUUCAAGUAGUUUUUUCUUUAUCUAUAAGCCAUAUAUAUAACAUUGAAAUACUGCUAUCUUCCAGUGGUAGAUUUUGUAUUGCAAUGUAGAUUUUCCUUUUGCGUUUCACGACAAAUGCUUCUAUCUUCUAUUUAUAUUUAUAAUCUCAUUUAACCUGCUAUAUAUACACACGCGUUUGGCCAAAAAAGAAACCUGCUAUUAGUACGAUUCUAACUUAGAAGGCGGGCUAGUGUUUCAAAACAGUUAAAUAUAGGAAACAACCACCAGACCCGCGCCCUUCAAACAAUAAAAAUCAAAUUAAAUGGUUAGUCCAUCUGAUAUGAAAAGCAGAAAUGUAAGUCUUAAAAAUUAAAGCAUCCAAUUCGUCAAAAGACAUUUUCCACAAAUUGGUAUACUCAUUAACCAUACAAUUCUGUUUGGUUGUUUACCUCUACGUAUUCCUUACAAUUGAUUGAAUAAAAGAAAACAAUUUUAUAGACUUCAUAGUUAGAUCGAGAAUCAAAACAAUCCAGUUUAGUUUCCUCUAUUAAUUUCUUUUUCUUUUUCUUUUUAGUGACCCAAUAAAACCAAAGAAAAUUCCAUAGUUGACCAAACAAUUAGGGAGGUGGGCAAGGCAGGGCACAUUCACCGAGUCAUUCAAAGGAAGGAUACAUACAAUACAUGAGAUCUAAUAAAAAGUCUUUGAAAAGGAGGAGAAGCAUAUGAAACAGCAAGGACCUGAGCUGUCAAGCCUUUGAUAUUUUAAAAGGAACAUAGAUUUUCUUGCUUCCUGCUAACUACUAAAGACACAUUCCCUUACUCUCAGAGCCACAUCAUUUGAAACUUUGAAACAAUUGUUGGGUUGGGUUUGUUCAUCUUCUUCUCCUUGUCUUAAUAAUGGAUUUUAAUUUGUAAAUACUAAAGAAGGGGUUUGGUCCCCUUCGAUAACACUAACAGAAUGGACUCAACUUGGUGUCUGUGCAGUCCUUUUCUUGGACAGCAAAACUUUUCCUAAUGCGCCAAUCCAGCCACUGAACCAAUCGUAUCAUUCAUUCUAAAGUUACAUGGAGUUCAAAGGAAAAAACAGUGUUUUUGCAUGCCUUAGAAGUGAAUAUUUUCUUCAAGUUUUCAUUGUCCUUGUCUUGUUGAUAUGAGCUAUGCGCAUAUUCUAGAAUCUCAAAUGACUCUUCCGAACCGCUCCUUAAUCAUAUCAUUUUAUUUGGCCGAAAAAAAAAAAAAAAAAAAAAAAACCUGCUAUGUUUUAGUUCGAUUCCAACUUGGCUUAGAUGGCUUAAUUUCUGUUUUCUUAAACCCAACCAGCUAAGCUGAUAUAUGUCCCAAGAAAACCUACGUAACUAUUCUACUCAACGAAUUUAGUUGGCAACAAGUAAAGAAUUGCAUCGUCUAUUGACGACAUAAUAAUUGGUUUUCAUUUCUUUUGGUUUGAAUAGGACGAAUCGUUGAAUUCAUAAUAUCUGACAUUUGCGUAAUUAAAGAAAAGCCAAUAACACAUUAUUUUUAAUAGUGUAUUUGGUAAUUUUUCUAAUUAUAAUGCAUAAUUUAAAUAGUUAUAAUUGAUCCAUAAUUGUUAAGAGUUCAUUUAUGUUUGGUUUGGUAAUAAUGUAAUUCAACCAACAGUGCAAGUCAGUAAAAGUCUUAUAAGUGAUUUUCCAACUGCUCAAGAUAUGUGGAGAAUCAUGGUUAAAAAAAAAAUUGUAGAAUCAUGAAACUGGGAAAUGGUAUGGUAACUUUUCACUUUUCAAAGGGAAAAAGAUGGGAUAUUCUGUAAAACAUUCAAUUUUUUAAGGAAAAUUCAUAUUCCAAUCACGAGGGAGAGUGGGAAAUGGGAAUCAUCUAGUUGUGUAGAUUUUGAGAAAUUCCCACACGAACUUCCAACUUCGAGCAAUUCUUUCUCUAUUGGCCCGCCAUUUCAAUAAUGUACUAAUAAUAUCUUUUGAAUUCCAGAAAUUAGAUAAGACAAUAUCAAUGAGAGACAACUUGGAAAGCAAUCUCUAGAUAAAAUGACACAGCCGCCCAUAGGAAUCAAUUAUUUAAAUUGUUUUCUCUACUAUCAAAUUUGGCCCUGUAUGCUUUGGGUAACAUCAUCUAUUUCAGGAAUGCACACAGAUUAAAAUUAAAAACCAUCUUACUUCAAGGAUUGCGUAUGCAGAAUGGAAGCCUUGAAGAUGAGAAAUGCUUUAGAUAAAAAUUCCUGGAAAAGUAAAGUAUCAAUUUGGCUGUUACUAAAAGGUAAAAUCUCAACAACUAGAGUAAUAAAAUUGAAUGCCUGGCUGCUCAAAUUUUGCACUAAUAUCUAAAACCAAACCAUAUACAUUCAGUAUUCAUGUUGAUUGAAUUUCACCGUACAAGUUUUCCAUAAGAAUACAAUCCCUACUAAGCACUUUAUAAAUUUCACUGCAUCUCUCUCUUGAGGAGUUGAGCGCAAGAAAUUCCAUAGAUCCUAAAAGAAAUGGAACCAAAUUGUGGAAUAUUUUAUUCAGUUAUUGUAACAGCAGGUUCCAAUUACAAAAAUCAGUAUUCAACUGGUAAGUUUUGAAUCACCUCAUCAUGGAUUUAACAGCAUUUUCAUCAUAUAUAUAUAUAUUAUAUAUAUAUAGCAGCAAAAACAAGAGGGAAAAAGAAAGAAACAAAAAAAUGAUUAACAUCCUAUGAAAUGGACAUUUGCAAUGUCCUGAUCUACAUAUACAUUGAAAAUGAACACCACAUUGACAAUUUAAAGAACCUUGAAAAUGUUGAUCCAUUGAAAUCACCGAAAAACAAGUUACCCCACAAAUAUGCAUGAAUUUGAGGUGCAAGCAGCCUGAAAUUUGAUCCAUUGCCAAUCAUUUCAAUGUAUUAAAUUUUCAUGAACUAAAUGACACAUACAGCCUGAGAACUCAAACUUGAUUGAGAAAACACAUCACCCUGAAAAGAAUUCAGAACUUUCUCCAGCUGAUCGAUUCCUCCUCAAACCAAAAACACCACUCUGGUUUCCAACAUUUCUGCUGACCUCUCCCUUGGAAAACAUAUCUUUUGCUACCAAAUCUAUGACUAGAAGCUCUGCUCCCUGAUCUUGAUCCAGGCCUUUCAACUACAUCAGCCUCCCCCCACACUUCUGACUCCCACUCGAUACCAGUCAUGCCCAUAAGUUCCAUCAAAUCACUCCUGAAGUCCAAAUCUGAAUAGACUCUGCAUGAGUCCCUCAUGUUUUGCCUAACAAAUUUACCAUCCAUGGCGUCCAAAUUCUCCUUGGCAUUUCUAAAUUCAACAGGCCGCCCCAUUGUUUCCACCACCAAACAUGGAUUGUUAAAACCAUUCCAUGAAUGUAGAGGAACCAAUUUGCUCAACCCAGUUAACCAAUCAACCACCUCUUUCAUUGCAGGGCGGCGCUCCCUACAGGACCUCACGCAUUUAGCUGCUAUGACAGCCAACUGCUUCCUAGCAAUAGGAUCCUUAGGAGGUGCAAUCCUUGGAUCAUAAACAGCAAUAAUCUUCCCUUUCUUUACAAAAGGAAUUGCCCAAUCCACAAUAGAAGGUGGUGAAUGUGCAACAUCAAUAGCUUUUCUACCACUUAUAAUCUCUAAUAACAAGAUCCCAAAACUAAAAACAUCAGUUUUUGUACUCAAAUUAUCUGGUGUCACAUAACAUGGAUCAAGAUACCCAAUAGUACCAGCUGGUGGGGUUGAUCUAAGCUUAUAAUCAUCAAUACCACACCUAAGUGCCAACCCAAAAUCACCCAAUCUUGCAUUGAAAUUCCUAUCAAUUAACACAUUUGCAGAUUUAACAUCUCUAUGAAGAAUUGGAGGUUUUUGUGAGUGAAGUGUCUCUAAGGCUUUCGCAACUUGCAAGGCUAAUCGAAUUCUUCGACCCCAAUUCAAAGGCCUUGAAGAAUUAGAAUGAAGAACAUCAUAUAAUGUGCCAUUACUCAUAAAUUCAACAACCAAUAAACGAUCUUGAGUAUCAUUAGUAAAGCCAAGAAGAUUCACCAAUCUGGGACUUUGAAUUUUUGACAAGAUUUCGAUCUCGUUAUCAGCUUCCUUGUUGGUUUCUUCGUUUCUUGAAGAUGGUUUCUUGAUGGCAACGUGGCGUCCCCUGAGAACAGCCUUGUAGACAGCGCCAUGGCUACCUUUGCCUAGAAGCCUUUGGUCAGAGAAUCCAUUGGUGGCUGCUUCAAGGUCACUAUAAUCAAACCGUUGGAUCUUGAUGGGUUUUUCCUGCUUGAUGGUGGAAGUUUUGGAAGAUGAAUUCAGUGUGGUUGUGGAGGUGGAGAUUAUGGAGACCGUUGAUCCUGCUUUGCAAGAAAGGUAACCCAUCAAAAAAGUUCUCUGUUUUUAUCAGGGUCUUGAAGGGUGUUUUUUGAAAUGAGAAAUUUGACAGUUUACAAGAAAUAUGAAUCAAAAAGUCAAGAUUUUUAUCAUUUCAUUGCUCUGCUGCCAGUACGUGAAGAGGAAAAGUUGAAGGAAUGGAAGGGGCUUUUGGGAUUUGGAAAAAAUGAAGUGGCAGUUUUUUUUUUUCAUGUGUUGGAAAGAGGAAAAUUUUCGGGAUCUCAAGGAUUUUUUUUACCCAUUGUUAUAUCUGCCAUGAUUUGUCUAUGCUUUGCAUGUUGACAUUUCUAAUAUUUUAAUGUUAUGUUCAUCGUAUUUUGUAUAAGAUUUAGUCAAUAUUUUAUUUAUGCAGCAUCUUUAAUUUAUUCACUCCCCCACGGGCUCACUAUUACAGCCUUAUUAUGGCUAAUAAAUUCUUCUUUUUUGUCUAUCUGUUCUGUUCUGUUCUUCCUCUUUCACUUUCCUUUUCUCUUUUCAAUGAUUAAAGUGUGUACCUUUAGCUUUAGCAAAAAGAACAGUUACUUACCAUCAAAGCUCUUAUCACCCCUACUGGCUACUACUACAUUAUUAUUAUAUAAACAAAUUGUUUUCUUUUCUUUUGUGGGAAGCCUCUGGCUCUGGCUGGUAAAUCGCUUCAUAAUAUUGGACCAAAAUCGAAACGCCUGGUGUUGAUUUUGAAGUGGACACCAAACCAACUAUAUCUGAAAGGAGCACAUUAACGAAACCUAGCUCGUUGGACCCUGCAUUUGUCACACAACGAGUAAGUGUUUGUUUUUUAAUGAUUAACUGACCGCAUCAAUCUCUAAACUACUAUUAGUAGGGUUUUCAUCAAACUGUAUAUCCAGUUUCAAAACGACCAGAAUACGUUUUGGUUUCUACAAUUGUUAAGAACAAGCUCAUUUGAUUAAAUCUUAGGAGUAAGCAUCAACCUAAUAUUGAUAUUUAACAAAUAUUUACCUAAUAAUAAUGAAAAAAACAACAUUUGUAGGCCACUUGGCACAGAGUUUUCAUGUUACCCGACAAGCCAUACAGGAAACUAGACACAGUCCAAUCAGCAGUCGAACUAAUUAAAUGUUGAAGCUUUAAUGGGGCAUAGGGAAAUAAAUGAGACAGAGCUGAUCUCCUUCCCAAUCUCUAGUUCUUUGCCAGUCUGUGACUUGAAGAAGACAAUGUGGGGCAGAUGACUGGUGCAAGGUAGGUUCCAUCCCAUUAAAAGCUAGGUGAAGGUAAUUUGUUCACCCUUUUUUCUGAAACAUAAACCACAAAUGAUUGAAGAAUUCAAGAGGUACCACUCACAGCCGACCCUAAAAGGAGCCAUCCAAUAUUCCAAAUGGAAAUAUAUAUACACCCACGCCAUGAAUUAUAUUGCUAUUAUAAGUCAUUCAUUUUCAAUGUCAUAGAUCUAAAAUCUUCACCAUGAUUAAUGGAAAUACGAGAUUGGAUCCUUUGGUUAUAUUUGCGGGUUGAAUUAGUUUAGCAUCAUAAGUUAUCAUUUGUGGAAUUCAAAUUUCACAAGAAAGCACCUGUGUGCAAGAUUUGGAUUAUCCAACAACUAACAAAUAUAAGAAAGUUGAUGUUGGCCCAGCGCUGUUUCCCUGCCUAUUCUUGUUGUCGUAAAAAGAAGUUGGAAUACUUAUCGUCUUCGAAUAGUUCUUUACUUGUCCUUGAAUUGCUUGGAGGCUUCCUUUGGAAAAGUUGGUUUGUUUUUUUCCUUCUUUUUUUCUUCUCUUUCCGGCCAAGCACGGAAAGUAGAUUCAACAUUCAUGAUUCAUACCAUGGAAUUUUCCACCUCUCUUUCAAAAGGGGGAAAGGGAUCAAAUUCAAAAAUUUUUUGCUGAAAUUUCGUGGUGUUUCAGACUCAGUAAUAGGGGGUACCUAAACAAGUCGCACAAAGUACAAGUACACUGACCAGAGGCUGUGGCCCUUCAACUGCCGGCAGGUAAUUUCAUUUCUUUCUCUUUCAUGGCCAAAGUCAAGAAGCUAAAAUACACAAGAUAUUCUUAUUCUUAGCAUGCUGAAAAAGAUAUGUGAAUAGCAAUCAAUGAAGCCUCGUCCAUGUUUGCAGGCUUUGCAAUCUUUUCUGCUGAAGUUUUGAUGUUACAUUUACUAUUUUCUUUUUUAAUUUCAUGGAAUGCACAUGCCCUAUAGGCCCAUACCACUAGUUUUUAACAAAAUGGAAUGAAUCUUGAUUCAACUUCUAGAUGAAAAAAAAAAUGAAGUUGAUUGAAAGAGAAUCAACACUCCCCUCUAUGUGAAAGAGAAUCAACACUCCCCUCUAUGUAAUUAAUGAAAGACUUGAUAUAUUGUCGCAUAAAAACCUCGGAAAGGCUUACCCACUUUGAUCUCUUUUGGAGUCUAGUCCUGACAAUCAGAGAAAGUGAAAACUAAACCAAAGAAAACACUUUGGGCCUCCGAUAGUUCUAGCUGGAGUCCACCCGAGCCCAACUUGUAAUGGACCGACAUCUUUAUGGACUCAAAAUUUUACCUACAAGGAAAUGAAGCUCUUCUCCAAUCAGGACAAGGUAAUGCAAGAAAAGAAAUGGAUUACUUAAAUAAUCAUGGUAUUUAUAACAAUUAUUAUUACAUAUUCAAUGAUUUUGUACCAUUAACAAUCAGCUCUUCCUAAUUCUAUAACAUUUUACAAAGCAUAACAACAUAAAUUUAUGACAAAACUUAUGGACAAUGGCUGAUAUUAAGUUAGGAAGUGUUCAAUUGCCACUCAAUUUCUAAGUGACUGCAAUCCAACGAACAUUUAACCCUAUUUAGAGCUUUUUUCCUGUGUUGCAAUAAUGCUAGGGAGCAUUCAUCAACCUCCUUUGUCAAGUCAUUAUUCUUCCUUUUGCGAGGCAGUUCUCUUGAGAAUCUUUUCCAUUUGGAUUCAAACUCACAAGCUAAAAAAUAAGAAAAGAAACAGCAAUAUUAUCAUGUGUUUAACUAUGUUGGAUCAUAGCAGAAAGUCAGGUAAAUCUAAAGACAUAUGUCAUAUUAGCAAGUUUCACAGUAAUAAUUACCAAAUUCUACAAACCUUUACCUCCUUUAGGAGUUCAUUUGUUCGAGUCUUAGUAUAACAAAGCAAAAACAUUCACCUAAUGUUACAUUCAUUGGCAUGAAUUAGAUUACAGCUGAAUUAGAAGUCACAUGAUAUUUGCAAUGAAACACCAAGGGUAGUAAUUAAUAUGCCUAAUGAGGCAAGGCAGGCAACCAAAUAGAACUGUAUCAAGACAAAAUUUAUCCUAGAAAUUUCAAAAGCUGUGAUAUGGCUGUUGCAUUGAGCCGUUCUUACAGGAACACUGGCUGUACAACAAAGACCUUGAUGAUUAAAUGCAGAAUCUUAUAAAAGAUACUAUGAAGACAGCAGUGGAAACGUAAUGAAAAGGAAUUAAAUAUAUGCAUUAAUCUAGAUGAAUUGAUGGCCUCGCAAGACAAAGGUUUGAUGAUAACCUUAAACGAAGAUAACAGACGAGCUAACAGUUAGAAAAGGAUGAAAUUAUCAAGAAGACCAGUUGAACUCAAAGACUUCAGAGCCUUUAUGAAAUGAAAAUUUGCAUUUCAAUUCAUAGAAAUAACUAAUAAGAAUAGUGCAAAUACCUUCACUUUGGUCCCUGAAACCUCGAAUUAGGCAGGCGCAAACCCAUGGCCGUCCAGCACGGGAUGCUUUUGCACCACCCUUUAGUUCACCAUUAUGUUGUUUCAAACUGCAUAUCAAAGCUCAAUAAUCAAUAUUUAGGGGGCUCAGUCUCACUUAUUUUGAACCGUUUUCUUACGAAAAGCGAAGCGAAAUACCCAAAGCAGAGUCAUUUGAAGGAAACAGGUAUUACAACUUGUUGCAACAAUCAUAAACAAAGCUCACAAGUUUUCAAAAGAUUAGCUUACGUAAAGGAAAUUACCCAUUUGCAAGAGAAAUUAAAAAACUAUAUGAAAUAAGCAAUUUCUACAAAUUUAUCAAUAAGACUGUUCAAAAACCAGCAAUCAAAAUUAAACCUAAAUAAAAAUUAGACCCAAAUAAGGAUUUCAGACACAGUUUGAAGAUAAAGCUUAAUAAAAUUGGAAUAUAAGAAAAUGGCUAUCGUACCGGCGAGAAAAAUCGAUGGUGACACCGAUAUAGGUUUUGAUAGGGGCAUUAGUGGAAAGAAUUAGGUAUACGCACCAUGGUUUUAGUUUUGAUUUUGCAAUGGGACUGGAUUCUGACGACAACGACGAUGAUGGUUUUAGGCAAUUAGGGUUUGGAUUUGGGUGUUUCACAGAACGGAAUGUUCUCGUGAGCAGCCUCAUCAUGUGAUCUGACCAGGGGAGUUUUUUAAUUUUGGGAUUAAUAUACAACGGUCCAGUUUUGCCCUUUUUAUUUACGUUACUCUGACUGAGUCAAAAUUCCGUUAAACUUCAAUAGCAUUUUUUUUAUUAAACAAAAAGAGAAAAUUUCAGAUUAUUGCAAAGUUCCGGUCUUUUUAUUGACUAAACCCGUCUUCCAAGUUACAUCCGAACUUCACGUAGUUGAUUCAUUUGUCAAUAGUCCAAAUUACACCGACUGAUUUAUAUAUUUACUCUAAAAUAUUUAAAUUCAUAUAUUUAUAUUAUAUUUUAUAAAAAAAAAACUAUGUAUAAAAAUAUUUAAUUUUUUUUAUUUUAUUAAAUUUAUAUUUCAUAAUUAUUAAAAAUUUAAUUUUUUUUUUUUCAUAUCAUAUUUAUAUUAUAUCAUUAUAUCACAUUUUAAAUUACGAAUAUAAUCAAAACUUAUAAAAAAAUGCCUAAUUCAAAAUCAAUAUCAGUAUUCAGGGCUUGGUUGACGUGCCUGUGAUUCAUUUGGUAUCAAUCAUACAAUUAACCAUGAGAGAAUGUACAGAAAUUUACAUUUAUCUCAUGGAAUUAAAAAAACUAUAUAUAGACAUGUUAUCACUGUUUGGCUUCUAACUUGCCAAAGCGAGAUUUAAAGUAAGAUUCUAUCCGGCUCCAAAGUGAGAAUUUGGAUCCAAAAAAUCGCACUAUCACUGAUUUGUUUGAUCCUUCUCUCAUAAAUUCCAAGUCCUUGGCGAUGCUAUUCUGAACACUUUCCAUUUCCAUAUUAUCACCUCGUAAGGGUAAUGAAACAGCACCCUGAGAUUCCAGGUUCUUGAUCCAUCCACGUAGCAAAUAAUUCACCACCUGUAUAUCCAAUUACAGGAAAUUUGUCUAAAUGCAACAACAUAAAAAGCAUGAGAAAACUAUACUCUGAUUGGAUGAAUUUGUUAAAGUUUUGAGAGAAUGGAAAAUUUAAAAGGAAAAUUGAAAAUUAUGCAGUCAUUUGGUCUUAACAAGUUACUACACAACCAAUUUCUAUGUACAAUCAUAACCAUAUUAUAUUUCAUAUAUCUCUUCUUAAAGAAAAGAAAAGAAAAAACUACCAUGGGAACGUAAUUGGUAACCACUUUUUAACCUAUGGCCAACAAAAUACUAAAAGGUCCUAGCAAAACUAAAAUUCAAAGCUGAAAUUUUAUAUACAAAAAUGAAUGAUUAUCAGGGAUUAGACGUGAAAAGCAAGCCAAUCAGUGACAACAUACCUCAGGAACUUCAUCAUGAGGGCAGUGACCAGCUGGGCUGAUAUCAUAGUAUGGAGCUUCAGGAACUUGCUUUUUCGCCUGAAGACCCCUGACAGGCUUCACCCAGGGGUCUUCUUUUCCAUACAUAAGACAGAUAGGCACAUUGUUCAUAUGACACUUAAAAGAAACAAAAAACAGAAAGUCCAUAACUUGAAGCAGAUAGGUACUUUUCCACAUAGAAUGCACAUGAUUUGGUCAUACAAGUUAAAAACUAUUCAUACUGUGUACCUUGAUAAAGCCUCCCUGAAAGAAAGCUCUCCUUGAGGAGCAAACAUAAUUGAAGCAAAUGAUGCAGCAGCAGCAGGAUGUUGUGUUGUCUUAAGAAUAUGAGAAAAGACUUUGUCUACAUUUAUAGAAUGAUCUACAUAAACCUGUCUAAGUACAUCGGCAAUACUUUCAGGAUCACUUAUUUUUUGCCAACUGAAAUCAAAAGGUGGGAGAAGAAGUUAAGUAAGAGCAAUAAGAGAUUUGAAGUAAAGAGAGUGCGGCAGCUUGCUCCUGGAGUCCUAAAUAAAGAUAUCAAACAAACUCUUUUGAAACUCUAAAAAAUUUUACUCUCAAAGUGAAGAAAACAAUUGCAAAAUCACUUACCUCUUUUCCAAGUAAAAACCUCAACAAGAUAAUUAUUAAUAUGUGAUAUCUAUGGGUUUAAAUGUACAUUUCUAGAAAUUUAAUGGUGAUGGAAUGGCAUUCCAUGAUGAGAAUGCCAUAUCCUCUAAUAUCAAAGCAGAAGGAACUUACACAAAUUCAGUCAGCUUUCUAACACUUUCUGGUAGAGGAAAUGUUCCAGACCAUGAAAAUAUCCUUGCUAGUCUUGGAGAUUUUAUUGGAUUAGGUAAAAAUCCCCAAAAAGGAGUUGCAUUAAGUAGAGUAACGCCCUUCACUAAUUGAGGAUUGCAUGCAGUAAAGUAUAGCGCAACAAAUCCUCCGAGUGAGUUCCCUACAAUGUAAACCGGUUCACCAAUGACCUGUGAGAGAAAGAACUAAGGUCAAUAUUGAUGUCUUUACACUAUAUUAAUGCAUUAAUUUAUCUGAAAACAAAGGGUUAUGUGAUUACUAAUUCAAAAUCCUAAAGCCAUUUUAGCUAUAAUACGAGAUUUCCUUGCUCAACUGGGGUAGCCUUAAGACAAAUUAAGACAACAGUAAGCAAAUGUAGCAUGAAGUCACAUAGACACCACUAUUAUCAUCAAUAUAAAGAAGUAUUAAAGUAUAGAUAAAUAACCUAUGUGUUUAAACAUGUGAGGCAUUGCGAAAGGAAUGGAUUAGAGUUAAAAUGUAAAUCUAUUUGUAUCUCUUCUACAAAAUAGCGAACUUGAUCCCGCCAUAAAUCCAUAGAGUCAACCAGAUCACUUGCCCAUGGCUCAGUUUUAUCCCCAAAUCCCCACACAAAAUUCUUCCCUGCUGUGAUACCCUCCUCCUUAGAAGAGGAAGUGGGAUCUUCAAUAGGCAAUGACAUGCCUUGCCCAAGAAAGUCAAUUGCCCAUACCCUAUUAUCACGACCCAAAUCCUUCAGUUGCUUUUCAUAAUGAAAAGAACCAACACCAAAACCAGGAAGAAAGAGUAGUGGCGGACAAUUCACAUUUUCCCAACCUGAUUUCUCGUAAUGCACAUUAAAUUUAGGUUUCCACUCCCAGAAACAACUGCUUAUUGGAGCACCAGAUUCAACAUUGGACUCAUCAGGCAACACUGGAAUCAAAACCUUGGUUACUGAUUCCCCACUUUCUGACAUACUUUCAACGUCAUCGUCACUACCAAUCACAUAACCAUUAUAAUUCUCAGUGAAGACCUUUGAUUCACCAUCGUUAAACCCUUCAAAAGCCUUGAAGGGCCUUGAACCUUCACCAUAAUGGACAUUCUUCAAAAAAAGGUGAUUUUUAUUAGAUAAUCCCAGUGACGCACUUCUGUAAUGAACCCUAGUACACCAAAGCCUGUGCUUUCUACACAAAAGGAUCUUUACUUGCUGUCUACUUGGGCUUUUGUUUACUAAUGAUCUCUGCUUUAAAUUACAGCAUGGAGGAAAAUUGUAAGAGAUGACUUCUGUGCUUCGAAACUUUGCUCUGUGAUUAUCAAAAACAGCAAAUAUCUCAGCAAAAAGUUGACUUUAUCAUAUGGGUUGAUUACAAAGAGAAAAAAAAAAAGAAACCUUUCUAGAGCCUAGUAGCCACUUGAUUGACCUUUUCAAUCAAAGGAUUAAUGAUAAAUUCUUUCAUCAAGAAGAAACCAUAAUAAUAAUAAUAAUAAUAAUAAUAGUAAACUAAAACUGUAGGAGCUCAAAUUCAAGAAAGAAAUGAAAAUAAAUAGAACCAAAACACAAGCUUUUCAGGGCAGGAUUUCUUCUUAAGAAAAAAAAAAAAAGAACUUUAAACUAAAAAAAAGGUAGAGCAUGUGAACUUAUUAAAUAUAAUAUAUAUAUAUAUAUAUUAUAUAUAUGCUUUAGCAUAGAGUAUGGAAGGAAAUUGAUGAAUCAGCAAUUUGUUUAUUCUUAAAAAUAGAAAAGGAGAGAUUGAGCGAUGUUUUACCUCUAAUUCUUAAAGACAAGUGUCAUUGCUCUUUGCCUUUUUUUUGGUUGGGAGAAGGUGCAGUCUUUUCCUUGAAUUGAGGAGAUUCCAGCACAAUCUAUAGAGAAACAGAGAAAGUCGGUUGCUUCAAAGCUUCUUCUUCCUAUGAAAAGUCAAGAUAUCGAUGAAGUGUCUUUUUUUUUUUUUUCUUCUUUCUGUAUUCUUCUAUUUUGUUUGUGUGCUUAAACAUGUUACUAAAAAAGAAUCAAAAUAUUUUUCCUUCUUUUACUUUUGUUUUUUAAAUUUCCCAUUAUAAAUAAAAGAAUUAAAACAGAGAAUUACCAAUUGUUGUUUCCAUUCAUAAAAAUCUUUUAGGAAAACAAACAAACAAGGGUUUGGGUCGUUGAGGAAAUUGAAGAAAGGGAGAAGCAAGAGCAAUAGAACUAGAUACCUUGUCAAAUGCAGUAAAAAGAAGAUACUAUUGGCCGCAGAGAAAACUAAGCAGAAGAGAUAAUUAUCCAUAUGCAAAUACGACUGACCCAAGUACUACCAUGUUUUCAACAUUGUCCCAACAAUGGUUUGGGAUCCUCUGUCUUGAUGUUCACAAUGAUACGACUGCCACAUUUUCAACAAUAAUAUUUUCAUACGUAUUUUAAUAAUGCUCUUUAAUAAUUUAUUUGUCCGAACUCAUAUACUGUCAAAUGCAAAUACAAAUACAAAUACAAAUACCCCUGUUCCUGCUUGUCGGUUAACACGUUAACCUCUAAAUUUAUUUUAUUUACUUCUUUUUUACUAUAUUAUUAGGUGAAGUUGAAGGAAAAGAAAAAGAAAGAAUUUGAAUAAUAAAUUGACAAAAUCGUUAAUUGAGUUUGAUUUGUUGAAUAUAGUCAUUUGACACUCCACCAAAUCGUAUUUUUGUUUAAAAAAUGAAAAACUACAAUAAUAAAUGGAAAAUUGUCUCUUAGUCAAGAAAAGUAUUCUAAACGACAAAACCGUAAAAUUAAGUGUCACGGCCUCCGAUUUUAAAUUAAAUUUCGUGCGGUCUUAUAUUGAAAAUGGAUUCUGUAUGUGUAAGUUAGUUUAAGAAAUAAAUGUACGGACACAAAAUCAACACCAAAAAAUAAAAUAUGAAAGUUUAAAAACACGAGAAUGCUGGAACCGAGCCCGUGACAUCAGGCCUUGGCUACAACCGCUCAAAAGACCCAAGGACUUGGCUUCCUAUUCACCUAGUAAGCCAUCAAAAUUUGGCAGUGAAAAAGGCUUUUUUUUUCACCAAAAAGGAAAAAAAAAGGUUCGCAAUUGUGCAACAAAUACUUGAACCCAAGUUUUUGAAGGAAUUGAUGCCAGGCAGGAAUCAGAGAAGAGAAACCAGGGGUUGAACAUUACAGAAAACUAUCAAGGUUCUUUCUUCAAAAUAACGUAUAAAACAAAGAAAGAAAGAAAGCAGUGACUGCCUUUAGCAUUAAUGCAAAAGCAGAUUAUGCAGAAAAAAUAACCAUUAGCUAUCUACUAUUGUGCCUACCUUUUAAAUUCUGUCAAGUAACAGGAAUUUUCAUUUAACGAGCAAGAAGAUAAUGGCUAGUGACUAGUGAGUUCUGUCUUUCACGAUCCGAGUAAAAGCAUUAACUGUCAUUUGAUCAAUAAUCAUCUUCCGCUCUUCUAUGAUUGACAAAAGUUUCUGCCGCACUAUUUCCCAGUAUCCCCUGAGUUGGAGCUGAGCUCUUUAACUUCUUUGAUCCAGCUGGGAGAGGAGCAGAUUGCUGCACAACCAAAACCGAGGCUGGUGAUUCCAAAUCCGUUGAUACUAAUGUCUCCCCAAGCGGUCCCAACUCCGGGAAAUCACUCCAGUUUGAUAGCCCUGAUGUCAAUGGAGAUGUUCUGUCAUGUCCUCUUCCUACUACGUACAAUUCGAAAUCAUUGUAAACAGAAGUUAUGGUCGAUAUAAUCUGGUCUCCACUGUUAACUUGUUUCUCGAUGUAAGCUAUGGAUUGGUCGUGCAUUGUCCUGAACCUGAACUCGUUUAAAUAAUCAUCAUCAAGCUGCUUCUGCUUCUCUCUCUCAAACAUGGCUGUGAAAAUCCCUGAUUCAUCAUCUUCUUCAACGUUCUCGGUCAACUCAGAAACGUCUUUUCCUGGAAGAAAUCGCACUACGGUUAGUACUAGACGUGGAGUGCCUGUCAUUCUCCAGGCAUAAGCUAAUGCCUCUCGGUCAUCAGCACCUUCAACGAACAGCAUGGCAAUGCGACAUUCCCGCAUGCCACGGUGUGAUUCUCGGGAAAAGGUUGAAGUUAGGCCACGAUCCACAAGUAAGCCAAUGGAACAGGGUGCAGUUGCCAGCAAAUUUUGAUUCACUUGUUUAUGCUGAAUGUUUUCAUCUGUCCAUCCGCCAAUAGCAUUUGGUUGCUUGUGAAAUGGGAUCAAAAUGAUAUUGGCGAGCUUGUCAAGUGCGAAGUUGCUAACAUCCUCGUGCAUGGUGGCGUAAGGGGACACUGCUGUUAGUGGCUGAACAGUGACGGCAUGGUUGUCGUUCUCGAAGGAUUCAAAGGCAUUGACAAUUUGCUCCGCCUCAGCUUUUUCUCGAGUGGCAUUGUUCCCAGCAUCAGCGGUCUUACUCUUAUCAUGGAAAAUUAUCAUUGCAGAAGCGCGUCCUGCGAGCUCAACCAAAUGGACAGCAAAGACAAUAAUCGGGGAAUUUCUUGUGGCAUUUGAAAUUUGCAAGAGAUUAAUCAAACCGGACAAAUUUCUGGUGGAAUGAACGCAUGCAAGGACUCGAAAUGGUGCAUCUGGGAUACUUUUCUCUAAGCUCCUACGAUUGUAUUGCUUCAAAUGCCUCGCGCUUUUGUGAGUGAAACUGACUACGGGGCCAAUAAUGACCGUCAUAAGUAAUAUAGCAGCAAUAGUCCAAGAAAAAGUUUGUUGGUCAAAACCCUGAAAUAUAUAUUUGUGUAUAUCUUUAAUUACUGCGAGGUAUUGGCUUGCUUAUAUACAUAUAUAUGUACACAUAAUGGUAAAAACUCUAAAAAGCAAAUUAAAACUUGCCUUCAUGUUUCGACCUUCAUUAAGAAUAAUGAGCGCAAGAGCACCUUUGGUGUUCAUCAGGACUCCAAGAGCCAAACUAUCUCGCUUUGGGCACCUGAAGUGGAGGCAGACAAGAAGAGUGCUUACAAUCUUGGCAGAGGAAGCCAGAAGUACAACUAGCAGCACCAUUCCAAAAGAAUAUUCAGCAAAAAUAUAUGCGAAAUUGGUUCUCAAGCCAGUAAGCAAGAAGGUAGGGGGCAGCAGAAUCCCCACCACGUAGUCUUCAAUUUUGUCCAUGAUCGUAGUCCCAAGCUCUCCACCGGGUAUCAUGAGUCCAAGCAUAAAAGCUCCAAAGUUGGAAUGUGCUCCACAUAAUUCUGUGAUAUAUCCACAAAGGAGCACCAGUGAUAAAAUAAAAUAUACGUGCUUAUCCGACGUUGAUGAUUCUUUGCUUGCUGCUGAAAUUUGUUUCACCGUCCAAGAGAUAAAUGGACGCAUCAUAAACCAGAAGAUUGUCAUUCCCACCAUGAUUGUGAUUGCCACGAACAAUUUCUGGCGCCCAUUGAUUAAAGAUAUUGUUCCCACAAGAACAAACCAACAAGAUAGUUCACUAACAACGGCUGCAGUCAAGGCCGUUUUACCAAGAUCCGUGUAAAGGAGCUUGAGGUCUGAAAGUAUUCGAGCUAGGUCAGGAAAACUUGUAACGCUGAGGGCAAUCGACCAGAAAAAAGCACCCAUCUCAGGUGCCCGUUGUGUUUUUUCUUCUUUCAGCACCAGGUGAUGUAAUCCCACUCCUGCAAUGGAGGGCAAAAUAAUACCAGCAAGGGCAACGCUCAAGGCCGUUUUUCCUAUUUUCCGAAUUGGGGUCAAGUCCAUCUCCAGACCCACCAGGAACAUAUAGAAAGUUACGCCGAGGUUCGCCAUUGUCUCCAGAAACAAGCCACCCUCAAAAGGAUUGAUAAUAGGUGAUAUCCAGCCCGUUAUACCCAGGGCGGUUGGCCCUAGCAGAAUGCCAGCCUAUAUACACGAUGAAGAAACAAAAAUUAACAACAAAAUUAAGAACCAAGAAGGGUUGAAAUUCAAUUCUACUACAUAUGCAACAUUGAAUAUACAUACAAGAAUCUCAGAAAGAAAUUGAGGUUGACGAAGAGGUCUGAUGAUCAGCAUCAAAACAUGAGUAAGCGCUAUGAGGACACUUAAUUGCAUCAUAAAGAUAGGCAUCCUUUUCAUCAAGGGGUUCACGGCUUGCCAGUAAUUGUUGGCUAUAGGCUUGGUAUCGUCGUAACAUAUGGUAAAUUCAUUGUUCAUGCCAAAGAAUAUCUUGUACUUUCCUUUGGUCACGAAAUCUGAUGUUUGAGCCAUUUUUGCAUCACCUAAUUCUUCACCUAGCCCAGGGCCUUCACCACUAAUCUUAUAUUGAAUCAAACAAAUAUGAGCAAACGCAUAUGCCUAGACCAAUAUUUUGAAGAACAGAAAUUAAAUUAAUGGGCAUGCAGCCGAUUACUCAGGAAUACAGGUUGUCACUAUAAUGUGUUUGUUUUUUUAUAGAGAAGGUUGCUGAAAUAAGAAAAUGAUUGUAGCUGAUGAAAUUUGAAUUUUAGACUUGCCGAAUAGCACCUAUGUGGUUACAUAAACUAAUUGAACUAAGUUUUAGAUUCUUUGUUAUUAUUUUGUUGAAUUGUUUUCUUGAAAAUGCAUCUUGUUGAGUUGUUAAUUGACUUGAAAUUCAACUAAUUAUCGUAAUCAAUCAACUUGUUAGUGGUUUUCAUCCACUAGAUGCCCUACAAAUUAAUGAUUAAAUCUCAUUCAACUGAUCACUUAAGGAAGCGACUCAAUCUUGUCUAGACGUUUUCAUAAUCUGAUUUGGGUUUGAGAAAAACUGUCCUGCUAAUUUUACGUAUCUGAGUGUCUUAUGUUUAAUUUCUAUAUAUGCUGUUAAUUAUAUAUAGUUAAUUUAAGUUAAUCGGAGUUAAAAAUCAGCAAAUUUAGACUUACUGAAUAAAAUGUAUAUUAUAAUUAAUACAAAACUAGCUAAUGAAUCAUGUUGAUGCGAAUUGGCAUGAAACAGGUCAUUUAGAAACAUUCUGUUUCGAGGGAAGAACUGGAAUUUUUACAAUUCUGAAAAUUGAACACGACUUAGUCGUCAAACAUCACUUUUACAUUGAGAAACAUGGAAAUUUUUUAAUUUUAUUUUAGAUUAUGGGUAGUUAGUUAGGUCCUUGUAAAGUUGUAAUUCAUAAAUCCUAUAUAUACAUACACUGUUGUGAACAAGAAAUAUAUAUUUUAUGGAUUAUUAAUUAAGGAGGAAUCCAGUUACACUAAUCUAAGUAUUAUAUAUAUAUUUUGUCCUUUCAUCAAAAUAAUUGUUAUACCCUCUUUUAACCUUUGGAUCAAAUUGAAAUUUAUAAAACUGACAUUUAGUUAUUUUAAUCCAAUAAUAAAAAAAGAUACAACACUUAUACUUAUUUAAGUGGAUCUUUACUGUAAACUAAUUGACUAAGAUUUGAAUAAAAAUAUUUUGCCACCAUGACUUUUUAAUAGUAAGUAUAUAAUCAUUAGUGUUUCUAAUACACAAUAAAUAAUUACCAAUCAUUACUCUCCGGCAUCAAAGCUUGAAAUUAGGGGCCAAAAUGUCAUACCUAUUUAUAAUAUUGUUGACAGUGUCGUUCGUUAAUAUUUAUUUAUAAACUUUGAUUAUCCAGUUAAUUACUAAUUUAUAUAUAUUUUUUAUUUUAGUAUGGUUUAUUCUUUUUUCUUAUAAUAAUUUGUCUUCUUCCUCUUGCUUAUAUUAAUUUCUUGGUUAACCCCUUCCAAUUAAUAUAGUUAACUACAUGCUUUUUUAUUUUUUUUUAUUUUUGGGUAACAAAAUUCCAUUGAAUUAUAAACAAAAGGGAAAGGCCCUUAUUCUAUAUAUUCUUUUUCUCCUCCUUUUACACCUACUAUUAUCUCCAUAAUAAUAACUGUAAGUAUCAACGAAACAUAGGUUUGGUGGAUUCAUUUUUUUUUUUUUUUUUUUGGAAUAAGUGGAUUCGUUUGUUAAAUCAAAUGAGAUGAUAUCAAGAUCCCUAACAUCAUAAAGUCUUCAAAUUAAUGAAAUAUUUAGACAGCAAUCCUUUCAAGUUCUACUGUGCAUAAAGUAAUGAAAUAUUUUGAAGUCAAUGAAUUUACUUAAAAGGAAUUGAGCUCACUGUUAUUUUUUAUUUCUUUUUUUUUUUAUGCAAAAAUGAAUACCAAAUCAUAUGAUCAAUCAAUCAUAUAAAUCCGAAUAUAUAUUAAUUCUAAAUAUAUGAUUUUACCCAACGAGAAAAGAUGUAUGAUAUGAUCGUAUUAAUCAAUCAUUUUUGCAUAAUGAUUUUUUUAUAAAGUCAGCAUGCAGAUUUUCCAAAAAAGGAGUCUCUAUGCGGCAAAUUGCUAGCAAAGGCGAAGUCGUUUUUGGAUGCUAGUGUCCAUAUAACCAAACCUUCGAAAAGAGGUCUUUAAAUGAGAAGAUAAGCAAUGGCAUCUUUUUUACCAUAGGAAGGGUCUUUCGAAGCGCAGUUUAGGCCAUUGUUGCGAGACAGUUUUGAGUCAGACAACGCUUUUAGUUGUACACCAAUAAAGACUUUAAAUGUUCAUAUACCUGCCAACAAUAAUGUGAUAUGUUGAUACAAGUGUAAGAUUUUUAAUUUUAGUGAUCAAAAUUUAGAUUUAAAUCUGAUCUAUCUGUAAAUAUAAAAAGAAAAAAGUGUUCGUAAACCCUCAUCAUUCAUUGUUUUGACAUGUAAGGGACAGGCUUUUUGAUUGCAAGAAUACGGUUUUUGUUCCUCUAAAACUGGGUCCUGAAUGCAUGCGGUACUGGAACAGUUGGAGAGGUUAGAAUAGUGGGUAUCGCCCAAUUGCUAUUGCACACCUACUUGCAAAUUGUGAGAUUAGCUGUUGCUGCCUGCCCUAAUUCGCAAACAGGAAGGGAUCCCUCCUCUGCCCCUUUUAGUCAAAUUAUGCCACCAAAAUUGCUUCACAGGGAAUCAUCACUUGUACCGUAUGUCGUUGAAGAAAAAGCAUAUUGAGAAAGUAAGAUCCUCAUUUUUUUUUUCUAUAAUUAAUUUAAAACACGGAAACACCGAGCAGACAAGGCAGAUUUACUCGUCAAGAGAGACCAGAUGAAGGAUUACCAAAUCAUUAAUUAGGGACUAAUAACAAGUUAUUAUGAACUCACCAUUCAAACUUGCCAAAUUCAGAGUAUAAUAACCUUUGCUCUGGCUUUUUUUUUUUUUUUUCUUUUAUAAAAAACUAGUGGACUUAAAAAGAGUAUAAGAUUUAUGAUAAGAUUUUUAACCUAGUGCACCCAGAGCAAAAGCACCAUACGUUUGAAUUAUGAAUAUCACCAAAUAUAAUUGACUCUUUAGGCUACUUAAUCUCAUUUCUUAAUUAAAAUGAUUACUAUAUUGACCAUCAUUUUCUUUUUCUUAUUUCUCAUACAUUCAAAUUGAAUUAAGGAAAAAAGUAAAAGAUUUAUCUACUAGUUUCUCAAAAAGCACUCAUUUUUAAGAACAAGUAGCGGAGAAGCGUAUGGUAGCACAAAAGGAAUCUACAGUGUUUACAUUUAUUUGUUGACUGUAUGAAUAAAUAAGAUAACACUUAACAUUCAAGCAUAAUUGUUUCUUAUUAUGAAUGUAAAUAAUAUACCAUUACAUGAUUAUAUACAAAUAAGAUGUCAAUCCUACACAUACUUAAUGUAAAAUCUGAUUUUUUAUCUAAAUGAGAUAAGGAUAAGUAUUAUAUUAUAAGUAUGAGGAUAGAUAAAAUUUUAAAUUUUUAUUAAAUAUAAGGAUGAGGAUGCGUAAAAUAAUAUUCACCCUAUACUCAUAUCCUAUAUAUAUUUAAUAUAUAAAAUUUUUAUUAAAUAAUAUAAAUUAUUAUUAUAAAUUAAUUAAAUUAAUAUAUUUUUAUUGAAAAAUUAUAUUUAUAAAAAUUACUUAAAUAUAUAAGAUAAACUUAAAAAAUUAAAAAAAUAAAUUUUAGUUUUUUUUCUUAAAAAUUAGGAGUAUAAAAAUUAUGCAUAUCUAUUAAAUACUUAUAGAAAUAAUAUAAAAAUAUAUUUAAAAUACCUAUUAAAUAUGAAUAUGAGAUAAAUAUAAUAUAAAAAUUAAAAAAUAGAGACAAAAAAUACUCUACCUUCUUUGUACUCUACCAUUAACGUCCCUGUAUACAAAAGUGGAUUUUCCUUUUUACAUCCAACAACAGGAAAUAAUCAAUGAUGACAACCAAAAGAAGUUCGGACAAAUUUAUGUCCGAUUGUAAGCAAUAGAUUUUUACCAUACUAACUAUUAUCCUGUCGUUUAGGGCAGAUGAGGCGAGAUAAGAACCGCAUUGAAUUAAAUUUCUACGUAGCGCCCACAGUUGCAAUGGUGAGUGAGAGAAGAACUUAAGGGGACAUUAAAUGGAAGAUGAUGAACCAUAAUUAGCGCCCACAGGUAGUAAUGUUUGCGUCAACAAGGAGCAUGAUUUGGCAACAUAGAUUUAGAGAAAAAUUUUUAAGCGAAAUUCACAAAAAUUUUAAUUAAAAAUAAUUAAAUUAAAAUUAAAAAUUUUCAUUAUAUAAAUCAAGUAUGUAAAAUUUUUUUUAAAAAAUUUAUAUAUUUUUAAUAAAAAUAUUAACAAAAUUUUUAUCAUUAAAUAAUAAUUACACAAAUUUAAAUUAUAAAUAAUUUUUUAAAUAAUUUUUUUUAUAUAUUAUUAAUUUUCACAUUAAACUCUAUUAAUAUAUUAAUUUAAAUUUUUUAUUAAAUUUUUAUUAAAUUAUUUUUAAAAAAACUUUAUUAACUUCAUCUAAAAAAUUUUAUAUAAAUUUUCUCCUGAUUGCCUAAACCUAAACUAAAACACACACCACCAUGAAACCGAAGGCGAAAUCCUACGAGGCCAGGUUGAAAGCCCAAUUUUAAAGCCAGGUCCCACGUACAGGGCAAUGAAAAAAAAAAAACAAGGUAGCACGCCACCAAAAACUUACCCCCACUCUUUUCUUCAGCGCGUGCAGGGCUUUAGAACCUGCAAAGCAGGCGUGCGACUGUGAGUUGCCUGCUGUGAUGGAUCAUGCCCACAUGAGAGGACACCAAACUCUGUCCCCUCCUAACUGGCGCAACACCAUGACACGCGCCUCCAACUAAGAUAGGGCCAACACUUUUUUCUUUUUCACAGUGGAUGAAGUGCUUGUAUAUUUCCACUUGAAGAAACAAAGAAUCGAAAGAAAACCAAAUAAAGCAAGGAAGGCACAAGGUUAAAAUUCAAAAUAAGGCUAAAAAGGAAAAAAAAUCUGCUAAAUUUUGGAUGAGCUAAUGCUUAAGUUCCACCCAAUACACUAAUAGUGGAAAAGUCAGACUCAGACAGAAGGUUUCCUCAAUAUACUAAGGAGACUAAGUAAAUUAUAUUAUUUAAUUUUCAGGUAACUGUUAAUUUGCAGUUUUAAGAAGAUGUAGUGAGACAAAGCUUGGCUGUCCUUUAUUUAUUUAUUUGGAAACAAGAACGUUACCAUACCAUAAUUCCAACAGCAAAAGUAAAUGCCCCCUCUUGCACAUAAUACUAAAUACAAUCACCUCCCUCUCUCUCUUCUUUCUUACAUGAAAACUCAAACCCAACAUCAUCAACCACUGUCUUUCUCUCUCCUCUGUUUUUCUAACACUGAGAAGAAGACAAAGCUCCCCCUUUGAUUUCUUCACCAGAUCUCUUCGUUUUACAGAAACACCCACUAAUGCCCCCAUCGAAAUACACCCUCACAAACAUUCAAACUAUAACUAGUUAACUACAUGCUUUUUAUAGUUUUAUCUAUAUCUACACUAAAAAUUCACAAGCACAGAAUAGAAGAAAAGCAAAGUUUUUUUUUUUUUUUUGGAAAAAUAAGCAAAAUUUCGUAAGUAAAUGAGGUGUGAGAAACAUCUUACCGACCUGAGUAGCAGCGUCGGCGUCUGCGCCACUUGUCUCCGAGAGCGGCUUCUAGCGCUGGUCGCCGUCCAGGCUCAGGCAGAGGCACAAGUCCAACAGGCUCAAUUAGCUCGGGCUGCAGCUGCUGCAACCGCUGCUGAGGAUCGUCGGAAACCUGACACGCCUCCCCUGGUUUUCCCUCGGUCUGUUUCUCCUUACGUUAGUCGACGGAAAUCUGACGACAACAGUGUCUCGUGGAUCCACAAACAGCGAUUUUACAGCACUCCUCAGGUGGGCCCCAACUACAGUACCACAACCACCACCGACUUUGAAGCCGUCAGAACUUUCAAAAAGAAAAACAGGUUCUCGCUUUUUUUGAAUCUGUUCAGGUCGAGAUCCGAGAAAUUCAAUUCUGAUACUAAGGUUCAUUAUCAUCGGGAUUCGUGCGAUGAGCCAUCCUCGUCAUCGUCGUCCCCGUCUUGGUUCUCGACAAUCUUUGCUGUUCGUCGAAAAAAGCAGCAAUCUUCGAGGACAUCUCAUGUAGAAGAAUUUGGCCAGUUCGGCCCUAGCGAUCGGAGAUCAUGCUCGAUCAUAGAUCGGGGAAUGUCGCCCACGAUUGAAGUGGAUUUGGGAGACGAGUGUGAUCGAUUGCCAUCUAGAAGCUCCCUGCAGGUUUCCCCGCAGUGGAAGAGGACACCGACGGUGGCGAGGAGAGUGAGGGCCGGGCCGAGGAACGUGCCGGGAUUAACGUUUUGCUUAAGCCCGCUCGUGAGGGGCCACUGGACUCAGAAGGGCGGAUUGCAGUCUGACAUAUCGUUUACAGGCGAAGGUAGGCCGUCGAUGAAGCCCCACCUGGCCACCGCGGCGGGGUUUUGCGCAAAUAGGUCCAGGAAGCUUGCUGAUUUUGGCAGAGUCAAUCAUAACCGUUGACAUUUGACCACAGUGAUUGCGAACGUACUGCAAGUAUUAUUUAUCAAACUGCGGUUUUGCCAUUGCUUUUCUACAGUUUUUACUCUCUGUGAUUCGUAAAUUACUAUUGGUUUUUUUGUAAAAUGAGAGAAAAAAAGAAAAGAAAAUUUUGUUGUUACUUGUAAACGUAUGCUUACUACUAGUAUUAAAAAAAAAAGAUUAAUUUUUGUUACUGUACAAUUAUCACCUGAUUAUCCAUGGAGUGAGGCGUUUAUUUCAAUUUUUUUGUCAUUGAUUUUCUGUUUCAUUAUUUAUAUUUUUUAUCUUAUUUAUUUCACAACAAUUUGUAAAAGGUGAUAAAUUAAUUUAAUCCACUAUUAAACUCAUCCAUUGUCGUUUAUAGCAUCUAACUAUAAUGAUUCUAAAGUUUUAGGGUUUCCCUAAGGUGAUGGGGUUUUUUUUCUUAAUGUGAGUCAAAUGGAACUGGCUAUCAUUACAAUGAAAAACACGAUCAGAGGAGGUGAUGGGGCCACGUGGACAAAAUCAAUGAGUUGACAUAAAGCCUAAUUAAGAAGAAAUAUUGGAGUGGCCUAUGGGUUUUUAUCCUAAUGGCGGAGACUCGAAAACUGAAAAAGGAGAGAGGCUGGGUGAGACAGUGAGAGCGUUUGACAUAUGACGGAGCAAACGCGAGUUGUCAGUCCGUGGCGCCGGCGCAUCAUCACUUUUGGCUUUGCGUUUACGCCUCGCUGUGGUGGGUCACAAAAGAAGGUCUUAUUUUGGGACAAUUAGUGGGGCCCUUAGGUCCAAUCAUAUCCGUCCACGUAGUCUCUUUAACGGUCAGACAGAGUGGGUCAAAUGUGAUCUACGAAAAAGGGCUGCUCUCAAUCUGCGCAUCUCUGCUUUGGUGUUUGGUCCCCCCGCCCCCCACGUUGGAUUACCCUUCACAUUGCCAUUUUAUUUGAUUUAAAGCCAAGCAUGAUCUUUCAAACAAACAGUUUUUCUUCAUCUUUCUUUUUCAUUUUUUGUUGUCCCUCCAAACUGUGUUGGACUGAAUUCAAAACAUGAGCCGCAUGUGGCGGUUUGUCUAAUUGCACUGAGCAAAAUAUCAGACAGGGAAUUGGAGAAGAAAGACUAACGAGUUAUUAAUUUUUAUGGUUGAAAUUUCUAACCAAACAGAGAAUAUCAAUGUGUUAUUAAUAUUAUUAUCAAACUUUUUUCCACGUGCUAUUGAAUACUGGAGCUCUAGAAAUUUUCAUCCAAAUUAAUGGCAAGCAGAAAUAAUAAUUAAUUAAACAUCUGACUUUUAUCUAUCUAAUUUUUUUUUCUUUCACCAAAAAUCUAUUUUUCUUUGCUAUUUUAUUAUUGCAGUCACAUGAGCAUAUUAAGAAUCGAAUUCCUCAUGGGGGAUUGAUAUUUGAGGCACAUUAAACCCAAUUAUAAAUGCAUGGUUGUAACUUCUGCUUUGCUUCAAUCCCUAAAAUCAUACCAAAAUCCAACCUCAAAUCCCAUUUUUUUUCUUUAGAAAACUUCCAUAUCCAAUGAUAAUUUCACUGUUUCAGCAAUUAGAAUAAUUAACAAUAUAAAAAUAACAUCCUUACUCCAUGAUUGGUGGUUGAACUUAUCAUGGAGACAGUGAUGGAGCAAAGCAUAUUUUAUUUAAGCAAUAUCCUUCUUUGUUUUUGCAUUGGGGCUCCAAACACCCAAAGAAAAAAACAAAACAAGGGAGGCUGGUUCAGUUAAGAAGAAAGUACGGCUAGCGUAGCUUGCAAAAAAUUUACUAGAAUACAAAAUCUCUUCCUUUUUUGUCAGAUGCUUCCAACAGGUCUCCCUCAAUUUAACUGAAGAAAAAGCUUGAAUUCGUUAAUCUGAGGGCUUUAUGCAUGGUCCCUGCAGCCAGGUGGCCAGGUCCAGCCUGUUGCGGUAGGUUGAUCUCAACUGUAUUGCUUCAUAUCAGUAGACAAUGAUUUUCCUCUUUCCUUCAUUUAAUUCAAACUGUUCGUACAUAAUUUAUUUUAGAUAAUAAAACCAUUGGUUGAAACCCAUCGGUUGAAACCCAUCGUAGUCCGGCUAGCUUUAUAGUAUUAGUACGCAAAAUCUAAUACAACAUCCUCUUUGUUACUCUUAAAACAAUUGAUCAAUAAUCAACUUAAUUAAGACUUGAUCAAUAUAAUCAUAUUUUUGGAUCGUUCAAAUAAAACAUGUUUAAACGUCACGUCAUUUAAAAACACCAUUAACAUUCUUAAAAAUAUUUGUGAACAUAUUUAUCAUUAGCAAGAAUGAACCGUAAACAAAAGAACAAAAAAGUAUAAUACCCAUCUGUAAAAAUUAAGUUUCAAGGAAAUAUAUAACAAAUUUCAAUAAUGUCUUUAGUGAAAGAUAUUUUAUUUUAAAUCCAUCAACAUUAAUCUUUGGUUGAAUAUAAAGGGUGGGUAGAGAGGGUUUAAGAGUGUGGGACAUGAAAAUCUUAACGACAUGAUAGCAAAAAAAAUUGUUUAGAUUUGAAGCAAGCAUUUAGGACAAAUGCCUUCACUAACAAACUUUUACUAAACUUGAGACAUUUCGGGUUGUGUUUGCCAUUGUUGGAGGUUAGGUCUGUCAUGUUGGUAUCAUGCUUAACAUGAUGCCAUGCUAUAAGAUUAGUAAAAUGAAGUUUUGCACACUGUCCUCUGCAUUUGAUUGGAGGGCAAAACUAUUUGUUUAAUAAUUAGGUGAAUCCUGGGGAACCCACAUAUUUUGGUCAAUUGAAGCAGCACAUUAUUAGUAUAAUUAUAAGAAUGGUUGUUGAUUGGAUUCAAGUACCUAAUAUAUAUUGCUGAAAGAAAGAAAUAUGAACAGCGUGAUGCAAUGAGUGAAAAGUAUAUAUUCAGUUGAUUAAGAAGGAGAUCUUGAGUUCAAAUUAGAUUAAUAGACAAUCUAAUAUUUUGUUCUGACCCAACAAAUCGUUUUGGGUGUUUGCAAUUGGAAGACAAAGAUAGAAUGUUACUUUAAAUCAAAAGAAGUUGUCCAGCAAGUAGUCUAGUCUGGUGUCGUGUUUGUUUGGCAAUAUGCAACUAGAAGCACCUGCUUCGGAGGCAGUUUCCCUAUCUGCUUUUCUUGUGUUUGUCUUUUUUGUUUUUCCCCCUUGGCAGUCAAUUAUGAGUUUUGGACUUGCGGUGGGUUAAAACAGUUAACCGUUACUGUUAUUAAAAAUUAAAUCGUGUCAUCUUUGUAUCAAUUUUUCAUAUAGUAUCGUUACUGUAUCAUGUUUUACAUUGCAAGGUUGAAAUGGAAGGCGUGGUGUUGAGAUUUCCAAGGGACAUUUCCCUUCAUACACAUUCAUUGAAAUUUGCAUGGCUAUCAAAAGAAGUAGAUUUUGUUGUUCAAUUGGCUUCCUGCAGAAAUUCAUUCUCCUCACUAAACAAGUCAAUUUUGUUGUUUCUGCACAACUCUACUCACUAAACAAGUCAAUUUAAAUGAAAGCCUCCUCUACCUUAGUAACAAUAGGCAUCCUAUAAUUCUGCAAAUCAAAGCAAUGGUUUGGUACAUUUAAUUUUCCUAUGCCACAGAAGACCGCAUUCAAAUCUGAAAUGGCUUCUGAAAUGUGUCUCAAUUUGGAUAAAUCUCAAAGCUUUAGCGAAGGCUAAUAACUGCGUUUGAGAUGAAAGGAGAAAAAGAGACUGAAUGGUAUAAUUGCAGUAAAAAAAAUGAUAAAAGACUAUCCAUGAUAGUCAGUUCUAUGCAUAAAAAUCAUUAGCAUGAAGAAUAAUCAUGGCUUUCCUGAACAUCGGUAUGUGACCUCCUUGCCUUCUUAUCAUCUAUAUAAUUUUGAUAAAUAUAAGAGGCAAAACCACAGAGAGCCAGGAGCAUAGCAAUUACCUUCACACCAUUCAUCUUGUCAUGAAAAACUACCAGAGCAGCUAGAGGAGUAACAGCCAAAGAUAGAGUACUGAUUACGUUGGAGAAGAGAGAAGACACAACAAAAAUCAAGCCCACAACACCAACAGCACACACUUGCCAAGUUACAGCAGUCCAAACCAAAGUCAGCACAUAAGAAACUCUCCCAUUGUUGAAGCCCUCCAUCUCAUGGUGCAAACUCUUCCAUUCCCCACUUGCAAAGAGACCCACAGCCGAAACACAACUGGCAACAAUUGAUGUAUAUAUUUGCAUUUCCAAAACCACAUAAAAAGUUUCCUUUUUCAAAACCUUCUGAAAAGAAAGUUGCAUAAGGGAGAGCAAAAGAGAGUAAAGAGCAGAAGCUCCAAGGGUGCAGAGGAAGCCAAGGAGAAACUUCCCCGUAGAAACUCCUGAUGGUCCUUCUGAACCAUCAUUGACUGCAAUGAGAGCAGCAGACAAUGAGAGGAUGACCACAGAGUUCAGAAUUAGAGCAGUGAACUUCUGCGAAUUAAAGAAGUAAGAAAAAACUGCAUUGAAAGCUAAUUGGGUGGCACAAAUAAGGGAGUAAGUAGAGGCUGAGAGGUACAAGAGCCCAACAGAAUACAACAUAUUGUCCCCAGCUACAAGUACUCCAAGAACAAAAUAGAGCAAAGCAAGAGUUUUGAUGGAAGGUGACGUGGAAGAUGUUGAAGCGUCCUGAGAGGGAUGAAGAAGAAACAAAGGGAUGAAAAGGAUUGGGAAGCCAGCAGUUUGCACAAGAGUUGCCAUCCAUUUACUAUUUCCACCCUGAUCAUAAUAAAAUCUCCCCAGAAGAACUGCAGCAGCCUGGCCAGCAAUGAGGAAGAAAAUGUUGAUUGCCACCAAAAGCCACCAUUGCCAGCUCUUGAGUCUAAGAAAUGGUGAAUGACUCACUAAAUUUUUGUCAUUGUUGAGAAUAGGUUCUAGAUUAUCUGUAAUCAAAUGUAACUGAAAGUGUAAACGGUUUUAUCUAAUCAUUCAUAAUUAAAAACUAUCUAUCUUAAAAAUUAAUGAAACAUAUCAACUUUCUAACAUCAAAAGGACUAAUGUUUAUUUAAGAAGUUGUUACUUUUGUCAACAAAAGGAAAUGAAACAGAUUCACCCAAGUCCUAGCACUACAAACUUCACAUUUAUCGCAUACUUCCAGCCCAAUUAUUGAGUUCCAUGAAGGCAGAAAUGAGAGGUUAAAUUGUAUUUGUCUAUAAAGUUACCUGUGUACCUUUAUUUAAAAUGCUUCUUAUAGAAAGCAUACAUGAAACUUUAGGACUAUUUGAAGAGCAUAGAAACAAAAUGCAAGACUAUCCAAAGAAAAACAAAAGAACAAUAUGCAAGAAUCUCCUGGAUUAUAUUACCAAACUCCAAUAGGAUCCUGGAAAAUACAAGCAGACAUAAAACUAAAACCAAAUAAUAUGUAUUUCCAAAGAGAAACCGUCUAUCAAAUAAGUCCUCAAUCGACCACAAUAAACCAGUUGGGAAAAGAGAAAAACUUAUUUGCUAGGCAAUAUACACCAAUGUUUGGCUAAAACCAAGUGGAUGUUUACAAAAACAAGCUAAAACAGACAAUAUUUCAUCUUUGCUUUAGUUGCCAUAUUCCAAAUUGAAUCAAGCAAAAACCUAAUUGGUAGAGAAUCAUAUCAUCACAAAUCACCGUAGCAAGCCCAGUAAUACAUGCAUGCAGUCUAUACAUGAAAACUUGAACGGAUCAUUCAAGAUUUAUCAGUCUUCUUCUUUGCUUAUUUAAGAAAUAGAACCCCCCACACCCCCCCCCCCCAAAAAAAAAAAAAGAUCAUUAAAGAAUACUAUCAACCUCAGAGUCCUGAAAACAAAUUCUAACCAUUCAAUUUCGAUUCUGAUGAGAACGCAGAGAAGUAUUGGCGUAACAAAGCAGGAAAAAAAAGAGAAAGAAAGGACCUUACCGGUCAUGCUGCGAAUGCUGGACCGCUGAAUCAAAGCAAGAUGGCGCAGUGAGACUCUGCGUAACAGAAUAAACAAAAGAAGGAAUGAAAACGAAAGAAGAUCCUUUCUUUUUAAUCAAUUCUCUUUGGGAAGUGACGAGUUACUUAUAGUAAAUUGACAACCCCCGCUGCCACUAGUAAUUUUAUUGGCGGAUCGGAAAGAGAAAGUCAAGUUUUAUGGUUGCAGCUUUUGUUGGAAGGCGGAAGUCUAGCUGUAUCGAUGUAUUCGCACGUGCACGGGUUCGAAUAGCUAGUAACAACUGAAACCCGUGAUGCGAGGGGAAAUUUUUAUAAAAAAAUUAUUUUCUUUUUCACAAAGGACACGACAAAAAAGUACUUUGACGGUGAUUCAUGAAUCUUUCCUUUGGUUACUAUUACAAAUUUCAUACGCAGAUGCUGUUACUUGUAAAAAAGCUAUGUUUACUUUUUGUUUUUCACAAAAUUUAAAAGAAAAAUCAAAUAAAAAGAAUCACCGGUGAUAGUAAAAAGCCAACAAUAGUUUCCUUCUAAGUUCUGGCAGAGGCAGAAUGCAGCAAAACUUGUUUUUAAGGAAAUGUAUGACGAAUGUCGUAAGAGCACCCAUUGGCAAUUGCAGUAAACUAAUGGUGCUUUGAUGUCAUUGUGAUAAAAAGAAAACAACCACUGGAUGCAUAAGCCAUUUUAUUUGCCAAAAUUAAAAGGUUGGUGUCACUUUCUCAACCAAAACAUAGGGGUAAUACUACUAUGGUACUAGUUGUUUACAGCUUACAGUUUGGUCAACAAUAGCAAAAGGAUCAUCAAACAGAGCCCAAUAAACAAAGAAUAAUACCCCUGAUGCCAAGGAAACCAGUAUGGAGAAACCUGAAAACGGUAUCAAAGAGACCCAUUAACAAGGGAAAACGGGUCAGUGCAUCAACCAACACCCAUUGACAAGGAAAUUUGCUAAUCUGAAGCUAAUACUUUUACAUAGUUAAAGAGCAAAUUCACUGUUUAUUAAAAAAAAAAAAACCCUUUCAGAAACAAAAUCAAACUGAAUAUGACUAACAGUAAAUUUGGCACAAUUGUUUGAGAUCACAAGAACGCUACACAUAUAGGACAGGUUAGGACUAGCCUACUUACCAUAAGAAAUGUCCUCUCUCAAGUUAUAUGCUUAAACAUCCAGCUAAACCCAAAAGCCCGAUGCUACAAAAAAAAAAAGGGAGGACAGAUUUUUUACAAACACUUUGCAGCAUUACUGAUGCACAAAAUAAAUUCUGAAAAUCGGAGCUCAGAUCAAUGAAGGGCGUAUCAGCAGGCACAUCCUCCAGACUGUUGCUGCAACUGAGAAGCAUUUGUGUUGGUAGACUUAAGAUUGACAUCAACCAUGUCUUCUUGCUUGGUUGAAGAAAGUGUUUCCAUUCCAGGUAAAGCAGCUGCAAUCUUCCGAAACAAAGCCUGUUGGAGAUUAAACAGAGAACUCAGCAGAUUGCUCAAGAACGCUAGUGGAGGAACAUGGAGAACACUGAUAGAACAGAAAUAACAUCAGCCAAUGAUGCCAUAACUAUCAUGCAGGAUUGAAGAUACAUAUUAAACAAAUUUUUAACAAAUGUUGCAUCCAUUAAAUAUGAUGGAGUUGAUGCAAAAGUGAGAAAUUAAAAAAUGAUAAAACUUUCAGUUAUUAGAUGAUUGGUCUAACUCAAAAUUAUUGUGCCAAUACAAAAAGGAAGCCAAUAGUAUUUGACAUGGAUACAGACUAUUCACAGCACGUAGCAUGCAAUCGACAUGAUAUUUCUAUGAAUAUUCAUGGUAGAUUACCAAUGUUUUACCUUGAUAUUGAAGCCAGCCUUGGCACUAGUUUCAAUAAACAUAACAUUGAGAUCACGAGCCUUGGCUUCUCCUUCCUCUAUUGACACUUGCCUGUCAAAUCAGAAACUUUGUGUCAAUAAGUUCACUUCUUCAAGUAAUGACCACAAACUAAUGCCAAGGCAAUUGUAAUUAGAAAGGAAGGCAAUCUACCUUCUUCAUGGGAAAGUUCAAUCAUGAUAAAAAAUUAGUAUUACCUUUUGUCCACAAGAUCCGUUUUGUUACCAACAAGCACAACGAUAACAUCACUACCCCGUUCAGUCCGCACCUCCUCAAUCCACUUUGAAGUAUUAAGGAAGGACUGUCUGCCUACAACAUCAAAAUUAAAGUUGGUAAACUUCAUCUACUUUUAUUAAGCAAAUGAACAAUCAACAAAGUAGGACAAUGAAUUUGUGAGAUUGCAUUUCAUAUAUUGCCAAUGCAUUGCCCAAGCAAACAAGCAUAAAACAUAAUAACCGAACAAGCAAAUAUAUGUCUGGCCAAUAAACAAGCAAACAUACGAGAUAGGAAGAUCACAAAGCAUGGGAACAAAGUGAAACAACAACAUACUUGCAACAUCAUAGACAAUGACUGCCACGGAGGAAUCCCUAAUGUAACUUGGAAUAAGACUCCUGAAUCUUUCCUGUCCAGCAGUAUCCCUGAAUACAGAUUAAGCAGAUAAAGAUCAAUGAUGCCAAUCUUGUCAAACAUUUUUGAUAAAAAUUAUCACAUGCUUAUCAAUGAAUAAAAACAACAAACAUUCGAGAGGAAGAGUUUCAUCAUUAUACCCUCUACUCAAUCCUUGGUAAUGAUGUUACUGAUUAUAUCAUUUACUGACAGCUAUAGGGAUUAUUGAAAUCUAUAAAAUCCAGCAGGAGAUUAUCUAAGUAACCAAUGAAUCCAAAAUUUCCAAUCAACAUCUGUGACGCCCAAACUUGUGGAUAUAGUAUGAUAUAUAUGUAGAGAUCUGAACCUAAAUCUGUGAGACGUCUUUUGUAGGACAAAAUCAUGAUAUUUUCAGGUCAAAAUAGACAAUACAUCGCAAGUUGGGUGCAAGUAUCCACAACAUCUAAACACCAAAGCACCGUCCAUGAGACAAUCCAAAAUUCAGGAAUACUAGCAAUAUAGUUCCAUGCUGAAUAUGAGUACAGCCAAAAAGGAAUUCUGUAACAAGGCAUCACACCAACUACAUAUCAAAGCAAGGCUCGGAAGAGAACUCUAAACAUACACGGAAAAAAACCCAGAAUCUGAAUUAGGUAUAAAAUAGCAAGCUAAGCUAGAUAAGCCCAUAAAAGUCCACAAUGAAGUAGCUUAAAACAAAAAAUGACAAGUAAUGCCUUACCAAAGCUGCAAUCGAACUGUUCGAUCUUCGAGGUACAUUGUUUUUGAUAGAAAGUCAAUACCGAUGGUAGCCUGGUAAACAAAUUAGAGACACAGAUAACCUUAGAACUGGCGGGGUGAGGAUCUAAAAGAAGCAAGGAACCUAGGCAAACUAUGGGAAAUCAGAGUCAUAACCAAAUAACAUAAAUGAUAGCAUAAAGAUUCAAAGAAAGAAGGAAUUAGAUCCAAAAGUGGAUGGUAAAAUUGACAUAAAAGAGCAUUGAAUAGUAUAACAAUAAAACAAAUACCUGGUAGGUGUUAUCGAAUUUAUCGUACAUGAAGCGAGUGAUGAUACUGGUCUUCCCGACAGAUUGAUCCCCCAAGAAAACCAGCUUGUAUUUGGCCAGAGCGGAAACUGGAGCCAUGGUUAUUCGGAUCUAUGUCAGGGAUAUCCUAUUGAUCGGAUCCAAUGUCGAGACCUCACCGGAGAGAAAGAGAUUGAGAUCAAGAUCCCUAGCCUCUUUCCCUUUCUUUCUUUUCGGUGAUUAUUGUUCAGAGUCUAUUUCUGAAUGAAGCGACCCAAAUUCAAGCUAAAAAUUGAAUUAAUUUUAUGGUAUUGUGAAUUUCCAAAUCUUUCUCAUCAUCACUUGUUGAGAGAUAGUAAUUUUUAGUGAAAGGAAAAAAUUUGAACUUCAAUUUCACAAUUUAUUAUUCCUUAUUUUGAAACACGAAUAUUUUGAUUUAAUUUUGAUUUAAUUUUCAUUGGAUUUGUUUAGUUUUUAUCACAUUAUUUUAAUCAGAUUGUUACAAGAAUUUUUUUUUUUUUGGUACGUCAUAAUUUUAAGAUUAGUAUUGCAUUAUUUCGGCCCUUACAUCCGAAGUGUGGUUAGUAACUCACCAACUUGUUUACAUGAGUCGAAUUGUUGAGUUAGUCGCUACCGAGUUAAUUCAUUUGAAGGCUACAAAGAAGCACGUGCCGUUGCCUUAUUUUUACUAGGCUACCUAAGUCACUGUUUAGAAACUAACCGUGAGCAGAAGCCUAAGUUGUAGUUGGAAGGAAAGAGAAAUGGCAUUGAGAGCAGCCGUACUUCGCCACAUUCAGGUGCCAGUUCAAACCCUAACGGCAACCGGAUCGAAACCUCUGCCCCGAUGGAGUCUCGGCGCUUCCCUCCGGUUAUUUUCAUCUCACGAUGAUCACCUUACCAAAGAAGAGGUAAUCGACAGAGUCCUCGACGUCGUCAAAAGCUUCCCCAAAGUCGAUCCUUCCAAGGUUAUUCCCUCAACCAUUUUACAAUUUCCACUCUUUGGUUCUCAGCUAAUUCUCGACUCUUAUAUUUCGUUAGUCGGGAGCUGAGAAAGAAAUAGUUUUGCGGUUAUUCUUGUCGGGAAUUGAUUGAUUUUUUUGACCCGAUUUAUAGUUCAAGAGUCGGAUGCAAUUCUAUUUUUCUGAUGUCUUUGUUUGGUUUUCUAGAAAAAUGCGAGUAAUGAAAAUAGUCUUAAAAUUCUAAGAUUGUUUUAUGGGCAUUUUUGUUUAUUAUGGCCAUCUUUGUUGUUUAUCCAUAUGUGUAAUUAAAACUUCAGGUUGAUUGUCUUAGUAGGAAGCAAUUUCAGUUGUUGUAUUAGCUUGCUGAAGUUUACAGUUGCAGCUGAUAUUGCAUUUUAGUCCGUUGGAAUUAUUCCCCUAGGGUUGUGCUAGAGUUUCGGUGCUUGAUGAUUUUGUUAUACGUAUCAAAAAGAACAAUGGAAUGAUUUCAAAAACCAAUUUUGAUGGAUCAUUUGCUUUUUACGCUGGCUUAGCCAUAAGAUAAACUAUUUAAUGGAGGUCUUAUUAACUCUUCACUUGUUUUUCGCUUUCUAAAGAUGAAUGUGGGAGUUGAAAUAAAAACUUCUGCUUAGUUUUGACUUUUGCCAGUUUAAAGUCCUUUCACUGCAAGAAGCAUGACCUUGAAUCUUAGAAACUCAUGAAUCUUUGAGGGCAUAAUUCUUAACUAGGAGUAAGAGGGAGGAGUAUUUUUGGUAAACAUCAAACAAGUAUAUUAAUUUCUCUUUGUUUAUUAUGUGAUAUCUCUACAUUGUAAUGCUAUGACAAUAUUUGAAGAGCUAACUUUUUUUCCAGGUGACACAUAAACUGAUUGACCAUUUUAUCACUUCUGUUUAAUUUUUCUUUUGAAUAUCGUGAGUAACUUAUAAGGUAUUGAUCUUCAGGUUAUCCGAUGCCCCUAUAUAUAUUUUAGUGGCAUCUUUGUCUCUCUUUUUCCCAUUUUUAUGCUAUUUUAUCCCUAUAUUUAUUAUUGCUCUUUCUCAUUUCCUUUGUGAAUUUUGAUUCACUGCUUUUUGCUUGUUUUAAAAAGAACUUUCUUAACCGCAAAAGUUCAAAUGCAUCUUUGUGUUCUUUACCUUAAGCAUCAACUUUUGUUCCUUUUCUCAAUUACUUGCAGGUGACCCCCGAUGUCCAUUUCCAAAAAGAUUUGGGGUUGGAUAGCUUGGACAAUGUGGAAAUUGUAAUGGCUUUGGAAGAGGAGUUCAAGCUGGAAAUUCCAGACAAGGAGGCUGACAACAUUGACUCAUGUAAUCUUGCUAUUGAGUAUAUAUAUAACCAUCCAAUGGCUGGCUAAUCUAAUGCAAAGCUAGGUUGUAUCUUGUUAAAUUUCAUUCGAAAAGGAUAAUGACAUCUCCUACUCUGUUUUUGUUCAACAUUUUUGAUGUUUGUAUGAAUUUACUCUUCAUAACGGGAUUAAGACUGACGAUCUGAAUCUGUUUGGUGUGAUACUACAUGAACUUGCUUCUACACCAAACAGCUGCAGAUUUCAACUUGAAAUAAACUUUUUUGUAUUUCCUGGGGCUUUCUUACCUUUCAAAUACUUAUGUUAUUCUUUUGCUAUUGUCCUAAUAUAUCUUCAACAUCUGCCUUUGGCGCUGAUGUCACGGGUCGAGGCUUAAGCUCCGACUCACGCAGUUUCAGGAUCCGAGCAUCCACUCAUUCGGCGUCCGAGAUUGAAGCACUUAGCAUGGAUUGAACGGUUUAGGGUUGGUUCUGAUAUCACUUGUCACGGGUCGAGGUUUAAGUUCCGACCCGCGCAGCUCUAGGACCCAGGCAUCCACUCGUCCGGUGUCCCAAAUCAGCCUACCUAUCACGAUUCACACCCUUGUAAUCCACUCAUCCGGCGUCUCAGAUCAGUUUACCUGUCGCGGUUCACACCCUUGUGAGGUAUUAUCCGCUCUGGAGCUUUUAUCUCACGGUUUUGUCUUAUAAAAGGCUCCUCACAAGGCAGAGGUGAUGUGAACCUUUAUAUAUCUUAGUAAUCUUUCAUUUAUAAAAGGCUCUGUGACAUUGGCAGUUGCUUGCUCCUAGUCUUUUUUUUAUUGAAAUGAGGAAUACUCUUUCCGAGGGCAUUAAUGGAGUAAAGCUUGCUUCUUUCAAGCGUUGGAUUUCUAUAUUCAGUAAGUGAAUUGAUGUGUCUGGUCUCUUGUUUUCCUCCUGCACUUUUUUAGCUUUGAAUGAAGUUAUUGAAGGGUCAAAAAAUUAGUAGGUGCUGUUGCCAUGGAAGCCGGUAAAAGGCAGAGAGAAUUGACUUAUUACUUUGUCGGCAGGCUUUGUUAUUGUGGAAGCUAUUUAAAGAUGGAAUUGGCAGGCUUUAGCCACUGUUCAUAUGUUAAUGUCGAACCAAGGCAAGAAUAUCUAACAAUCUUUGCGACUGGGUUGACACAAACCUGAAAUGGAUGUGAAACUCGUGGCAUCGCCACGUGAAUGAUCAUGUAUAGGUUCGUUAGUUAGCAUUAAAUCCAAGAUCCAUAUCAUCGUAUUCGGUUGAAUGAAAGCACAAAUAUAGGCUAAUUCCUUUAUUCUUUGGAUUGGUGUGAUCAACAAUAAUGUUACACCAAGAAGCUUUAAGUAAUAAUUAUCUGUAUUAAUUUAAACUGUAAGACAAAGAUAAAUUACAAGUCACUCUUCAAAGUUAGCUUCAGACACCACCCCAAUGAAAGCCUUCCCUGAAAAUCUCCUCAACCCUUUUUCUUUUAUGGUGUAAAAUCUUUUAAACUAAUUUGUUUUAUUGGAAAACAUCCAAUGAACCAGGCAACCAAAACAAAGAAUAUAAACAAGGAAACAAACUCAAUUAGAAUCAAGCUAAUUAAUGAACUAAGUGACCCCAGUCACGAAUGGCUAAUUCAAUCGUAGCAUGUUCAUAAUCGAAAGCGAAAUAGCAGACAACUGGAAUGUAUCGUUAUUUCUUUUUGUUAAUGGCGAAACCGCACCUUCUUUUUCAUUGAACCCAUCUUCACAAGUUGUAGAGGCAUCCAUGACCGAACUUACAUCAAUAUUGGCAUCAUCAUAGUGCUUAGACUUGUAAUCGUCGAUGGCCUGUUUGGUGGUAGGGAUAGCAUCAGAAUAAAGAUCAAAGCAAUCGUGCAAGCAUGAUCUUACGAAAGGGUCCAGCUUUUUGUUCUUCAAGAGCUCCUUAAUGAAGGACCUUGAAUUUGUUAAGUUACGGCGAAGUAGUUUGAUGGAUAUCAUGCCAAGUUCAUGAAGAUCAUCAGCGCAUUGGCUUUUCGGAGCUGCUUGAAGAGAAGUUACACAGAAGUUGUAGCCAAGGUUAGGGUCUCUUUGAGCACAUUUCUUGCACGUCUGACGGAUGAGAUCAAUGGCGGCUAUGCCAUGGAAGGUCCAAGUUGAAAUCAACAAGAAGAGGAAGAGAGGGAAGGAAAAAGAAGACAAGGUUUGCCUCAUUUCUCUUAUCGUGGUGGCUUGUAAUCUUGUUGUUCUUGGUGUUGGCCAUCAGAGAAAGUACAUAUUUAUAACUCUAGAAUUACUUCAAAGAAGCAUAAAUGAAUAAUUCAUUUAGAAUAAUAAUAAAAAAAAAACUAUAAGAUUUUCACAUUUUUGGUUUGUGAUUUUGGUCAUAUAGUCCGACGGAUUGGUUCGGUUCGUAGCUACUUGUUGCGAGGUUCAUACGUUUCUUUUUCUACAUGCUUUUGUUGCCUUUCUAAAAAUGAUUACCGAAGAUUAAAGAAUGAGAUUGCUCCAAUCCAAAUUCAUGAUUAUUAUUCAUUCGUGUAACCGUCCCAAUUGAAUGUUGUUCCUACGCCAUCUUUGCUUACACGUAAAUGAAGUAAAACGCUAUGCAAAUAUUGCUUUCCUUCAUAACAUUAGAAGGAAAAAGAAAGAGUUUUCAGUCGGACUUCAAAAAUCUUAUGUUUGAAAAACUAUGAAGAUGAUGCUUCAAAAUUAAACGCAAUAUAUAGUUUGUUGGGUAUUUUAAUUUUGACUUUUGGGCUUAGUCCUUUGAGUAAAACCAAAGUCAAACUAGCCAUAAAAAUUUUUAUCUAAAAAAGAAAUGAAACUUAAGAAUAAGAUGAUAAGAAUUUCAAUAUUUUCAGGUCUUCUUACUAUGUACAUGUGCAUCAUAUUUUUUUCCUUUAAUAUCCACGUGGCUAAUGCACCCAUGGCAGACGGCAUUAUUCACAGGCCAUUGAAGCAUCUUCAACCGAAAAAACAGGCAAAAACGCCCUUAAACGCUAUCUCACCUUGAAAAUAAUCAAAUAUAAUAAAACCCCCAUCACCAAAGGCCAACAAAGACCAAAAUCCUUUUCUCGGACAAUCUCAAAAUGCUACAAUAACAACUCAGAUAAGGAAAACCCAAUCCUCAAACCCAGCAGGCAAUCAAGGUCAAGGGCAAACUGUAGCCACAAUGGCGAACCUGGAGUCGGCAAUGGACUCUGUAUUUUGGGAUGAGAGCAUAUCCUCCCCACAGACUUUAAAUGGCUCGGCGAAGUCGGUUCCAGGCGAGCCGUUUCCGUUGGAUGGAUCUCGAGCCAGCAAAGCCCUUAGAAUUCAGCAGCUUUCAGUUCUGAGAAAUGGUUUUCCUUUGGGUAUCAUUCCUUCUUUAUCUCCUUCUUCGCAGAAAGAGUUGGGUUCUUUCUCUCUUCAGUCUGUCUUGCUCAGACCCUCCACUGCUAACUGGUAUUGCGCCAUUCUACUAUUUCUCUCUCUUGGGCUUAUACCCUUAUUUCUAUUUUAUCUAAAACAGGAGAAGAUUUUAUGUGGUUGUUGGAAAAUGCAUGGAAAUUGGAUGAUAUGAAAUUGUGAACAUGUUUUUCAUUUAGUCUUUCAUUUCAAAAAAGAAGAUAGAGAGUUGCAUAAAGUUAUUCUCUUAAGCUAGAAAGUUGUUCACUUUAGUUGUCAAAUGCUAUGUGACGUAUGCCUCAGAAAAAUGUUAUUUGCUUAUAUAGGUGGCUUGGAGAAAUUGGUCAGUUUAGGCCAAAGAAACUUAUUUCUGCUAUUAGAAUAGAGCUUCAGAGCGCUGAUGAGUUGAAGCUCUCUGUUUUCUGAAAUGCAGCCAAGCAUUUUCUUGACAAGUCACUGUAUUCAAUUGCGUUAGCGACUCAGCUUUCCUUGUCUCCUUCUUCAUCCUUAAUGUGGAGCACAGAACAACAGGGAGAGAAGAAAGGUUAUCGGCACAAGUUCAAGGUUUAUAACCAGGCAUGUAUUUCAAUACCAUUCAUCUUUAUAUGUUUCCUUGAUAACAUCUUGCCUACAUUUAUCUUUCCAUUUUUCAUCUUUAUAACCAGUGGUUGCCAUACUUCUAUGAGAGAUAAUGGGUACUAAAAGUGAACUAUAAUAAGUUUCAACAUGUUCCAAGUUUGCUGACAACAAUUCGAUCGGAAUAGCAGCUAAGUCAUGCUGGUGACUUAUAUAGUUUUAUGUCUACCUCAUGCAUCGUGAAGUUUAGUUUAAUUUUAUUUGUUAGAUUGGUUUUACACUUUUAAUUGUGUGAAUUUAAGUGUAAUAUAGCCAGUAUGAUGAGCAAGUAUUUAAAAGUAUUAGUGCCUAGAUGUGAGCCCUUUGAGUUCAAAGUCUAGUUCUUCCUAUUCAAAACUUCAAGUAAGAAGCAUAGCAAAUUGAAUUCUCAAGCCUACCCCAGAUUCAGAAGCAUAAAGUUUGAUGUUGGUUACAUCGAUAAUUCCAAAGAGAUCUCUGGUAUUUUUAACUAUUUUGUCUCAUAAUGUCAGUCUUUCUGGUUCCAUGAUGGUGAAUGAUAGCUUUUUAAACUAUGUUUAUUCUACCACUUAUGCGUAUUUACAGCUUCCUGAUCAUGAUAUCACACUGGAUGCUGCAUGGCCUGAGCCUUUUAUGGGCCAUAAAAGAAAAUAUUGGGAGGUUCCAGAAUCAAUAUACUUAGACAUGUUCUCUUCCUUCUGAUUCAGGGCUGCGAUAUCGUUUUGGUCUACAUAAAAACAGUGGUCAUCCCAAGGCUUUCAAUGCACUAGAUGGUGAGGCACCUUCUGCUUUAAUGCCAGGAUUAUGUGCAAAGGCUGCAUUUUCUUAUGAAAAGAGCAAGGAUAUCUGGAGGCAAAAGGAGACAAAAGAGGAUUUCUUUGUAAAGAUGGACAAAGGUUCAUUUUUUUGACCAUCAUAUGAUGUGCGUCUUAAAGAACCUCAUGCAGCAAUAUUUGGUAUUAUAGGUAUGUUUUAUGUAUUGCAGGGUAUGAUUUUUACUUGUGUGACUCUCUAGGCUUUUCCCUAACUUCCCCCUGUGGUAAAUUUUUGCACUCAAUAUGGUAAGAUACCACCACUUUAUGAUACCCUCUCCAAUUACUUUAGUUCAUUUUAUACUUUAGAUUAUGCUAUCUAGCAGAGCCUUGAAGGAAAUUGCUAUUCCUUUUAUCUUUCUGGCUUGUGGGAAGCAUUGACAAUGCUGAGGAAACAACUUCUAGAUAAUUUCUUCAUGCUAGUUGUGAUGCCCAAACAUUUAUUUACUUCUUUUGUUUUCUUGCUUCUUAAUCACAUUCUAGGAGGCACAUGUGCGGCCUGGUUUGGGAAUGACUCCACAAGUGCCGAAUCACAGAGAGAGGGUAACAUGCCUGCAACCAAUAACAAGAGAAGUCCUUUGAAUGCGGAUUUAUUUGGCUCAGUUUGCUACACUUUUCAGCAUGGGCAGUUUCGGAAGCUAUAUGGUGAUCUAACCUGAGUAGAUGCUCGUUUGGACAUAUGUUCACUUUCAUCAUUUGUCAAAAGAGUUUUCAAGAGUUCUUCCAGUGCAGACAAUUCACUAUCAUCUCCCAGACUAAAUUUGAUCUUUCAACAGCUGGUAAUUUUAUCCAUACCUCGUUUGAUUGUCCUUUUUUGUUUAAAAAUGAAAAAAAAUAUAUGGACACAGAUGGCUGAUGAGUUUUAUUAGCUGUUCUUAUUCACAAGGCCCCUGCACAUCUAUGGAGGUCUUGAUGAAAAAUCUUUAGAUAAGGGGAAAACACAUUAACCUCUUUCAUGUCAAUUGAGAGAUACUUUUUGAAAGGGCAUUUAUAGAGGGACUUCUAAAAUGUGGUAGGAGGGCAAUGAAAUGAUGAUUCAGAUGCAAAUUUGCUGGGAAAAUAUUGAAGCCAAUCUUUUAUCGUGUGUAUUGACACGUACAUAUCUCACAUGGAAAAGCCCUGGGAUAUUAUUUACAGACUCUACAUUUUGGCGUGCAGGUUGCAGGGCCAAUUGUCUUUCGAGUAGAUUCAAAGUUCUUGCUUGAUUCUAAGUCAGGGAAACGAGGCCCUCUUAUUGAGGAUCUCAUAUACAGCCUGAGCUACUGCUUGAGGCUUCUGCGUUCUGGAAAAGUUGUUGCUUGGUAUUUUCCAAAGAGAAAGGAAGGGAUGAUAGAAUUGUGCCUUUUUGAAUUCUAUCUCAUGUCUUUUGUCCUAUAAUUCCUAUGAUUUUUUUGUUCAGAACACUAGCUUUCUUAUGGGGUAAGUCAUUAACCCGAAAUGUGUAAGCAAAUUUCUUUUUCUGAUCAUAUAAUUAUCCAAACAUUGGAGAUGGAUGUGAAGUCUUGCAGCUGAAUUACCAACUUUUUGUGUUCUCGACCGACAGUUACCAUGUUUUGACACAUACAUUAUACAUUUGCUAAAAGAAACUUAGAUUAGAGAAAUGUUUUGCUCCACUAUUAUUGAAAUUAAUAAUCUAAUAAUUCCAGCACCGGUGUGAGAUGUGAUCGCCGAGCAUCUCCUUUCUGAUGCAAGCAUAAUUGAGGAUUGCAAACAACGCGAGCCUCUUCGAAAUCCCACUAGUGAUAGGCUGAUAGCUAUGAAACGAAGUCAAUGGUCAUCCAACAUUGAAUCCAUUUCUUUUUCUUAUAAAAAUCAAAAUAAGAAAAAAAACCAUUGAAUAUAUUAAAUAUUCGUGAAUUAUUAUCAUCUCCAAUGAGUAACUGACAUACAUGCACCAAGAGCUUGUAAUAUCACUCAUUACAAAAUGACAAGCUAUCAAAAUGCAACAUGAACUGUUCGAUUCUGAAAUACAUUCUAAAGUUUGACACAAGGCAAAUUUUACUCCAUAAGUGCCACCAUCAAAGUAGAUUCUUCAUCUAGAUCAAAGGCCAGAAACUUCAAUCGACUUCAGCUAACAAGUCACUCUCUUUACAGAAGACAUGCCUAGUAUCUGUUCCCAAGUCGACCUGCAAGAAAGAGAAGAGCAUUGAGAACAGAGUCAUACGACCAACUUUUGAAAUAAACCAUUAUUAUGUUAUUGAAAGCAAAUAAAACCUUAUUUUGCACAUAAAACCUAUGGCCAUGAACGAAAAGAUAAAUGCUGCAGAUGAAUCAGAUACUGUGCCUUAAGACAUUCAUCACAAUAGCAGUUACCAUCAUGUUAAUAGUUGUUCAUUAGUAGAGAGAGCCUUCGGCAGUGGCUAAAACAAUGAAGAUAUGGAUCAAGAUGGUCUUACUGCCAAACUUGCUAGUUACUAGAACCUCUUUCUAACUGCCCUUUCUUUGUCCACCCAAAAUGAACAAAUAUUGCAAAAGAAGCAACACAAAAAGAUUUUUUCGCCAAAAAGAGAUGCUACUAACCUCAUAUGCAUUUAUGUCAGAGAAAAGAACCUGCAAAGAUAUAGGCAUUCCUUUAGAUGGUAUAAGGAGAAUAACUGCAUAAGAAAAUGGCAUCAUUUUGGCAAAGAGCAAAAAGCGGCAUCACUUAGAAUGAGAAAACAUGAAUUGCUCAGAACAUUGAAAUUGCAGGGGCCGGAAUUUAUUUACCUUCUUUCCAGGCUCCACUUGUCCUACUGUGGUACCAACAGAAACUAUCUGAAGAGGAAAUCAUAGAACUAAUAAAAGAACUCCCAAUCAUUCAUGGUAAAAGGAGAAAAAAAGUAUAGAGGGAUUCUUAUAUACCUCCCCCAUUAGGCAACUCUCAAACUUGACAGCUGCUUUGGGUAACAAAACUCCGCCAGCUGAUUUCUGUGUAGAAAAUGGGCAAUUCAUUGGCGUUAUAACUUACAACAAAGGAAAAAAAAAUGACAUUUAUCAAACAAGAUUAAUAGAAAAUACAUACCACGUUUACGAGGGCCUAAUGAUUUACAAAUUUAUACAUGACAGCCAAGCAAAAUGCAAACAUCAACCAAUAAGAUAGUUCCCCUUUCCGUACCCACUCCCCACCAUCACACAUAAUCAUCAAUUGCUUUUGUCCAAUAGAUCAAUAAGAAUAGCCAACUUAUGCUACUCGAUUCUCAUUUCUUAGAAUAGAUCAAUAAGGGAACAAGAUUGAAACCAAAGAAAACCAGCUAGAUACACUUCAACGGAACAAGCAACUUCAUUACUAACAUAGAUGAACAACCUGCAAGUUAAACAAAUGGGCAAAAAGAGACGCAGGAAGCGUAAGCAAACCUCGGGUAACUCUUGGAGACGGAUAAGAACUCUGUCAGCUUGUGGAACAACCUGCAAAAAUCAAAGGUACCAUUUGCAUAACAACAUAAAUACACAAAAAUUGUCUCUAUCUAGCUCGGAUUACGAAAUCAAUCGAACAAUACCUUGGUGGGUUCCCAUUUAGUGGCAACUGCAUUGAUUCUGAGAGAGUUUCUUCGAGACCCUGCUGGAAACCCACAAUCAAAAAGACAAACUGAUUACAAACAAACAAGUAAAGAAAAACAAGCAGAUAUUGUGGUAGAAAAGAGGGGCUAACGCAAACUAACCAAGAAGUUUGUGGGUGGGAAGAUAUGGGAGGGUAGGCUUGUUCAGAGUAAAGGUUUUUGGUGCUGCGAGAAAUGUAGACGCCAUGGAAAAUUGAGAGGGCAGAUUGAACUAAGGGGGCGUUUGGCAAAACAAAGUAAGUAAAGCCCUCGUCUGCUCCUCUGGGUUUUAUAGGCCUACGUGUCAUCUUCCGUGACAUCAUCAAUGCUCGCCGGAGUUCUAGAGACUUCCUCGCUUUUUCUUUUGAGGGAAAACUUUGGGGUGAAUUUUCUUUUUUAGCUAAAUUUUUUUAGGUAAUGCGCUCAUGUUUAAUUGCUACUUUUAUUUUUGUUAUUCCUACUAAUGAAGAUAAAAUUAUUAUGGGCAACCAAUGAUGUCUCGAUUUAAUGAUAGAAAUAUUUUAAGAUUUUGAGAUUAAUAAUUUAAGUUUUAUUAUAUGUAAAUUUGUUUCCUGUUAAGUUAUAAUUUAUUUAAUUAUUUAAUAUUUUUAUAUAUAAAUAUAAAUAUAAUAUUUAAUUAUAAUUAUAAUUUAUAAGUAAAUGUAAUAUUUAAUUUUAACUAUAACUUUAAUUUUAAUGUCAAAAAUUAUUACGAGCAAAAAUCAAAUAAUGUGUCUUCUUAGACUACAAGUAUAAUUUCUUUUUUUUUCAGUUAUAAAUUUCUUUAAAAUAUUUUUUAUAUUCUACAUUUAUUAUAUUAAUUUCAAAUUUUAAAUUUAAAAUUAGAAUGAUAAUUCUCUUUUUUUUAAAAAAAAUUUUGACAAUCAGUAAUACUCUUUUAUGCAAAAUCUACCAACUACUUAGCAGUAUUUUCUUUAUGAACUUGUCUUUCCAAAGUAAAAUUUACCACUAACAGAUCCAAAGAGGGGAAGUACAUUUUGCAGUAAAUUCAAUUGAAGCAAAAAGUAGAAUCAGACAAAGCGAGGCACCUUCCCAUUUUAUUAUCAUCCCAGUUUUCGCGACCAUUUGAGGGUCCAUUUCCUUAUGUAUAUUUGAACCAACGGCUACUUGGGGACCACAAUUCCUAUCAUUUGUCCCUGAAUCUCUGCACUUUCAAAGCGCUUUAUCCCCUACUUUUUGCCGGGAAAUUUUUCAUUCAUUCCCGUUUAUCAUUCACGCUUAACUCACUUCUCACUUGGCAAACUAUUUAUUUUGUUGGCAAAAGGAGCACACCCUCUUUUAUCUGGAACUGGGGUUUCCCUUUUUUUCUUCUUUUUUUUAAUCUAAUCCUUGUGAAGAAAGGCCUAUCUGGGGUUUCAAGAUAACAAGUGUUGGUGACAAUGGUGAUGAAACAACUCUGUCUCUGUGAGUGGAUUCUACUGUCAUCUUCUGUUGGUAACUGUCGUUUGCUCCAAGCACCAUGGUAAGAUACUUUGAGCAUCUCUCUUUGUUUUGUUUUUGGAGUUUUGCUGUUUUUAUUGCAUAAAUCUACUAACUAUCGAUUUAUAUCUUUUAGUAGAAGUGUUGGCUGUCUAAACACUUGAUAUUAAACCUCUUUCUUUGUUUUUUUUUUUUCCCUAUGAAUGCUUCCCUUCGUAAAUCAGCAUAUUAAGUCAUGACGAGUGCUGAUUCUGACUCAUUAGACCUGAAGAUGUUAUGUAAACUAUUUUAGCUGGGAUGGAAGAUCUUAUCUGGAUGAUUCCUCCAAAUACCUGAAUCAUUGCCCAUAUACCUUCAAUUAUAACAUCUCUCAAACCUAAUGGGCAAACUUUGGUGGUAUGAGACUUUGUGCUUUGAUACACUUGUCCCGAUUAUUUGGGACGAGAUGUUUUUACUAGCUUCUCUA